GGAACCCGCCUUGCAAUGCCGAAGACAAUCUGCGUGUCGGACUCAUUGUCAUUGAAGCCUGGUUCGGGGGCUACUAAGGGAGUCUUGGAUUAAGGGGUCCUCGGACAGCCAGACUAUAUACUUUGGCCGGAUUGUUGGACUAUGAAGAUACAAGAUUGAAGACUUUGUCCCGUGUCCAGAUGGGACUCUCCUUUGCAUGGAAGGCAAGCUUGGCAAUUCGGAUAUGAAGAUCUCCCUCUCUGUAACCGACUCUGUGUAACCCUAGCCCCCUCCGGUGUCUAUAUAAAUCGGAGGGUUUAGUCCGUAGGACAAGAACAAUCAUAAUUAUAGGCUAGCUUCUAGGGUUUAGCCUCUACGAUCUCGUGGUAGAUCAACUUUUGUAAUACUCAUAUCAUCAAGAUCAAUCAAGCAGGAAGUAGGGUAUUACCUCCAACGAGAGGGCCCAAACCUGGGUAAACAUCGUGUCCCCCGCCUCCUCUUACCAUUAGUCUUAGUCGCACUGUUUGGGACCCCCUACCCGAGAUCCGCCGGUUUUGACACCGACAGCGCCCUCCACCCACGUGGCCGCCUCGCUCGUUUCUUGACUUCCACUCCAAGUCCUCUGGAUCACGUUUGUUCCAAAAAUCACGCUCCCGAAGGUUUCAUUCCGUUUGGACUCCGUUUGAUGUUCCUUUUCUUCGUAACACUGAAAUAGGCAAAAAACAGCAAUUCGGGCUGGGCCUCCGGUUAGUAGGUUAGUCCCAAAAAUGAUAUAAAAGUGUAAAGUAAAGCCCAUAAACAUCCAAAACGGGUAAUAUAAUAGCAUGGAACAAUCAAAAAUUAUAGAUACAUUAGAGACGUAUCAAGCAUCCCCAAGCUUAAUUCCUGCUCGUCCUCGAGUAGGUAAAUGAUAAAAACAAAAAAAAAUUGUGGAAUGCUACAUAGCAUAAUUCUCAAUGUAAUUUUAUUUAUUGUGGCAUGAAUGUUCAGAUCCAAAUGAUUCAAAAUAAAAGUUCACAUUGACUUAAGAAAUAGUAAUACUUCAAGCAUACUAAUCAAAGCAAUCAUGUCUUCUCAAAAUAACAUGGCUAAAGAAAGUUCAUCCCUACAAAAUCAUAUAGUUAGGCUAUGCUUCAUUUUCGUCACACAAAAAUUCUCCCCUCUUGUACACCCCCGAUGACAAGCCAAGCAAUUGUUUCGUACUUAAAUAAUCUCAAACUUUUUCAACUUUCACGCAAUGCAUGAGCGUGAGCCAUGGAUAUAGCACUAUGGGUGGAAUAGAAUAUGAUGAUGGGGAUUGUGUGGAGAAGACGAAAAGGAUAAAGUCUCAUAUUGACGAGGAAAAUCAAUGGGCUAUGGAGAUGCCCAUCAAUUGAUGUCAACAUGAGGAGUAGGGAUUGCCAUGCAACGGAUGCACUAGAGCUAUAAAUGUAUGAAAUCUCAACAAAAGAAACUAGUGGGUGUGCAUCCAACUUGCUUGCUCACGAAGACCUAGGGUAUUUGAGGAAGCCCAUCGUAGGAAUAUACAAGCCAAGUUCUAUAAUGAAAAAUUCCCACUAGUAAAUGAAAGUGAUAACAUAAAAGACUUUCUAUAUGAAGAACAUGGUGCUACUUUGAAGCACAAGUGUCGAAAAGGAUAGUAACAUUGCCCCUUUUUAUUAUCUUUUUCUUUUUUUUCUUUUUUUGGCCUUUCCUUUUUUUUGGCCUUUCUUCUUUUUUUCCUUUUUUUUUGUUUGGCCUUUCCUUUUUUUGGCCUUUCUUUUUUUCUGUUUUUUUAUUUGGGGACAAUGCUCUAAUAAUGAUAAUCAUCACACUUCUAUUUACUUACAACUCAUGAAUUACAACUCAAAACUAGAACAAGAUAUGACUCUAUAUGAAAGCCUCCGGUGGUGUACCGGGAUGGGAAAUAAAUCAAGAGUGACAUGUAUGAAAAAUUAUGCAUGGUGGCUUUGCCACAAAUACGAUGUCAACUACAUGAUCAUGCAAGGCAAUAUGACAAUAAUGAUGCGUGUCAUAAAAACGGAACAAAACGGUGGAAAGUUGCAUGGCAAUAUAUCUCGGAUUGGCUAUGGAAAUGCCAUAAUAGGUAGGUAUGGUGGCUAUUUUGAGGAAGAUAUAAGGAGGUUUAUGUGUGAUAGAGCGUAUCAUAUCACGGGGUUUGGAUGCACCGGCGAAGUUUGCGCCAACUCUCAAGGUGAGAAAGAGCAAUGCACGGUAUCGAAGAGGUUAGAAAUGAUGGAAGGGAGAGAGUGUGUAUAAUCCAUGGACUCAACAUUAGUCAAAAGAACUCAUAUAAUUAUUGCAAGAAUCUACAAGUCAUCAAAAACCAAGCACUACGCACAUGCUCCUAGGGGGUAGAUUGGUAGGAAAAGACCAUCGCUUGUCCCUGACCGCCACUCAUAAGGAUGCACAAUCUAAGAACACCUCAUGUUUAAAAUUUGUUACACAACUUUUACCAUACGUGCAUGCUACGGGACUUGCCAACUUCAACACAAGCAUUCUUUAAAUUCAUAAUCACCCAACUAGCAUGACUCUAGUAUUACUACCUCCAUAUCUCAAAACAAUUAUCAAGUAUCAAAUUAAUCAUAGCAUCCAAUUCACUUUCUAUGAUAGUUUUUAUUAUACCCAACUUGGAUGCCCAUCAUUCUAGGACCAAUUUUAUAACCAUAGCAAAUACCAUGCUGUUCUAAGAGACUCUCAAAAUAAUAUAAGUGAAGUAUGAGAGAUUAACAAUUUCUACAAAAUUAAGCCACCGUCGUGCUCUAAAAGAUAUAAGUGAAGCACUAGAGCAAAAACUAUCUAGCUCAAAAGAUAUAAGUGAAGCACAUAGACUAUUCUAAUAAAUUCUAACCAUGUGGGUUUAUCCCAAAAGGUGUGUACAGCAAGUAUGAUUGUGUUAAACUAAAAAUCAAAGACUAAUAUCAUACAAGACGCUCCAAGCAAAACACAUAUCAUGUAGCGAAUAAAAAUAUAGCUCCAAGUAAAGUUACCGAUGGACGAAGACGAAAGAGGGGAUGCCUUCCCAGGGCAUCCCCAAGAUUAGGCUUUUGGAUAUUCUUGAAUAUCUUGGGGUGCCAUGGGCAUCCCCAAUCUUAGGCUCUUGCCACUCUUUAUUCCAUAAUCCAUCAAAUCUUUACCCAAAACUUGAAAACUUCACAACACAAAACUCAACAGGAAAUCUCAUAAGGUCCAUUAGUGCAAGAAAGAAAAACCACCACAUAAGGUACUGUAAUCAACUCAUUCUUUAUUUAUAUUGGUGUUAAACCUACUGUAUUCCAAGUUCUCUAUGGUUCAUACCCUUACAUACUAGCCAUAGAUGCAUCAAAAUAAGCAAACAACACACGAAAAGCAGAAUCUGUCAAAAACAGAACAGUCUAUAGCAAUCUGCAACUUUCGAAUACUUAUGGAACUCUAAAAAAUCCUACCAAAAUAUUACGUCCUAGGAAAUUUGUCUAUUGAUCUACAAAAGAAAGAAUCAACGCAAAAGUACGUUUCUGUGAUUUAUUGAAAUAUUUCUCGUGAGCGCAAAGUUUCUGUUUUUCAGCAGAAUCAAAUUAACUAUUACCAUAGGUUAACCUAUAGGUUCUACUUGGCACAAACACUAAUUAAAACAUGAAAACACAUCUAAACAGAAGGUAGGUGCAAAUUUUAUUACUAAACAGAAGCAAAAACAAAAAACAAAAGUAAAAUUGGGUUGCCUCCCAACUAGCGCUAUCGUUUAACACCCCUAGCUAGGCAUAAAAGUGAGGAUAGAUCUAAGGGGUGCCAUCUUUUAUUUUCAAUUUUUUAGCGGAGUCAUGCUCGAAUCCGGGAGGUUCUUUACGUUUCCCUUCAUACUCAAAAAUUUUUAGAUCGAAAGAAUCCAACCGCUUAUUGCAAAGAGUAAUCAACAUAUUCAUGCGGUGAAGAUUCCCGCUAACACUCUUAAGAGGUUCAAGAGACUUUUGUAAGAUUUUUGUUACUUUGCAAAUCUUUUCAAACACUUGUGUUUCUUCUUGGGUAGGAUGUGGCCCCCCUUUUUGAUGUAGUGUUCCCACUUUUCCCUCUAUAAUUUCAUGCACAAUACUGGGAUCAAUUUCAAUAAAAUUUCCUUUGGCAAUGCAAUCCAAGAGUUGUCUAUGGGACAUAUUUAGCCCAACAUAGAAAUUGCAAAGUAAAAUUCUAAAAUUCACCUCUAGGGUGCAAUUAUGAUAAGAUUUCAUCAUCUUAUACCAAGCAUAUUUUAAGUUUUUUUCCUUGCCUUUGCUUGAAGUGAAGAACUUCAAACUUGGGAGACAUAGGAGCGGAUAAGGGACUAGCCAUAACGACGAGAUAAACGAUCUAACACAUGAGCACACAAAAGGCAAGCGAAAGAGAGAGGAGAUAGGGAAAGAGAGGGCGAAUAAAACGGCAAGGGUGAAGUGGGGGAGAGGAAAAUGAGAGGCAAAUGGCAAAUAAUGUAAGUGCGAGGGAGAUGAGUUUGUCAUGGGUACAUGGUAUGUCUUGACUUGAGCGAAGACCUCCCCGGCAACGGCGCCAGAAAUCCUUCUUGCUACGUCUUAAGCUUGCGUUGGUUUUCCUUGAAUUGGAAAGGGUGAUGCAGCACAGUAGCGUAAGUAUUUCCCUCAGUUUUUGAGAACCAAGGUAUCAAUCCAGUAGGAGGCUCCUCACAAGUCCCACGCACCUACACAAACAAACAAGAACUCGCAACCAACGCAAUAAAGGGGUUGUCAAUCCCUUCAUGGCCACUUGCGAAAGUGAGAUCUGAUAGAGAUAAUAUGAUAAGAUAAAUAUAUUUUUGGUAUUUUAUAAUAUAGAUUGGAAAAGUAAAGAUGCAAAUAAAAGUAGAUUGAAAGCUUAUAUGAUAAGAGAUAGACCCGGGGGCCAUAGAUUUCACAAGUGGCUUCUCUCAAGAUAGCAUAAUUAUUACUGUGGGUGAACAAAUUACUGUCGAGCAAUUGAUAGAAAAGCGAAUAAUUAUGAGAUUAUCUAGGCAUGAUCAUGUAUAUAGGCAUCACGUCUGUGACAAGUAGACCAACUCCUGCCUGCAUCUACUACUAUUACUCCACACAUCGACUGCUAUCCAGCAUGCAUCUAGAGUAUUAAGUUCAUAAACAACAGAGUAACGCAUUAAGAAAGAUGACAUGAUGUAGAGGGAUGAAUUCAUGCAAUAUGAUAUAAACCCCAUCUUUUUAUCCUCGAUGGCAACAAUACAAUACGUGCCUUAUUGCCCCUGCUGUCACUGGGAAAGGACACCGCAAGAUUGAACCCAAAGCUAAGCACUUCUCCCAUUGCAAGAAAGGUCACUCUAGUAGGCCAAACCAAACUGAUAAUUCGAAGAGACUUGCAAAGAUAACUUAAUCAUACAUAAAACAAUUCAGAGGAGAUUCAAAUAUUUCUCAUAGAUAAACUUGAUCAUAAACUCACAAUUCAUUGGAUAUCGACAAACACACUGCAAAAAGAGUUACAUCGAAUAGAUCUCCAAGAAGAUCAAGGUGAACAUGGUAUUGAGAUUCAAAGAGAGAGAAGAAGCCAUCUAGCUAAUAACUAUGGACCCAAAGGUCUAUGGUAAACUACUCACAACUCAUCAGAGAGGCUAUAGUGUAGAUGUAGAAGCCCUCCGUGGUCGAUUCCCCCUCCGGCGGAGCGCUGGCGAAGGCUCCAAGAUGGGAUCUCGCGGAUACAGAAGGUUACGGCGGUGGAAAUAGUUUUUCAUGGUCCUCUCUGAUGUUUUCGGGGUACGUGGGUAUAUAUAGGAGGAAGAAGUACGUCGGUGGAUGAUCGAGGGGCCCACGAGACAUGGGGGCACGCCUAGUAGGGGGCGCACCCUCCACCCUCGUGGCUGCCUCGCUCGUUUCUUUACUUCCACUCCAAGUCCUCUGGAUCACGUUUGUUCCAAAAAUCACACUCCUGAAGGUUUCAUUCCGUUUGGACUCCGUUUGAUAUUCCUUUUCUUCGAAACACUGAAAUAGGCAAAAAAACAGCAAUUUAGGUUGGGCCUCCGGUUAGUAGGUUAGUCCCAAAAAUGAUAUAAAAGUGUAGUAAAGCACAUAAACAUCCAAAACGGGUAAUAUAAUAGCAUGGAACAAUCAAAAAUUAUAGAUACGUUGGAGACGUAUCACUCGACUUUCUAGAUUUCCAGUCUCUGGUAAACAAGGCCCUCAUCGCAGAAAGGGAGUACAAGCCUAUGCAUGACAACCGACCCACAAAUAAUGACCACAAGAGGAACUUCGAGCCUAAGAAGGACGCACAGCCCGUGCAGAAGUCCCGUGCCUAGCAGCAGACUCAAGUGGAGUACAAACCAAAUUGGCAGUAGAAUGUGAACAAGACCACUACCCAAGUCAAAAAUGUCGUGACCAGUCCAGUGCGCAAAGAUUGUCAGCGCAACAACUCCUGCUUUAAUUGUGGAUAGACCAUAGAUUAUGCCAAACAGUGUCCCAAGAAGACAAAUGCCCCAUUUCGGCCGCAAGUCAACCACAUGGGCCAUAUCCUGCCCAGAAGUUCGUCCAAGGGCAAGUUCAUCACCUCUCGGUAGACGAAGCCUAGGAAAACCCCGAAGUCAUCAUUGGUAUGUUUCCUAUUAAUGACAUACCCGCAAUAAUUUUAUUUGACUCUGGGCUUCCCACUCUUUUGCUUCUCGGAGUUUCGUUGCCCGAAAAAAAUUCCCUUGCUCGCUUUUGGGAAAAAGUAUGAUGGUUCAAUCCCCGGGAUCGGUGCUCAAAGCAAUCUGGUCUGCCGAAAUUUGGAAAUUGAUAUCAAGGGGGUCCGUUUUCCAACUGCUUUGAUAGUCAUCGAGUCUGCCAAGUUGGAUGUUAUUUUGGGAAUGAACUGGUUGGCCCAAUAUCAAGUAUGCAUCGACUGUGCGACCCGAGAAGUCACCUUGACAAGUGAGGAAGGGCAAUCCAUAAAAUUCUAUGCCCGCAAAAGUAUACCCAAAAGGGAACUGGUCUUCACAGUUGUAGCUGAAGGAUUGCAUCUAAUUCUAGUGGUCAGUAAAUUUACCGAUGUAUUCCCCGAGGAAUUACCCGGAAUGCCUCCAGACCGAGAGCUUGAGUUUGCAAUUGAUCUUGUGCCUGGAACCGCACCAUUAUACAAAAAGUACUAUUGAAUGCCUUCAUCCGAACUCGUGGAAUUAAAGAAACAGCUUGAUGAGAUGUUGCAGAAAGGAUAUAUCCGCCCAAGCUCGUCACCAUGGGGAUCACCCAUAAUAUUUGUGGACAAGAAAGACGGCAGUCCCAGAAUGUGCGUGGACUACCUUCGAUUGAACGAUGUCACCAUCAAGAACAAAUACCCGCUGCCAAGGAUUGAUGAUUUGUUCGAUCAGCUCAGUGGGGCAAAAGUAUUUUCCAAGAUUAAUUUAAGGAUCGAAUACCAUCAGCUCAAGAUUAAGAAGGAAGAUAUCCCUAAGACCGCGUUCACUGCCCGAUACGGUCUCUAUGAAUAUACGGUGAUGUCUUUCUGUAUCACAAAUGCCCUUGCCUUUUUCAUGCAUAUGAAGAAUAAGGUAUUCAAGGAUUUCUUGGAUAAGUUUGUGGUGGUUUUCAUCGAUGACAUACUCAUAUACUCCAAAAGUGACGAAGAGCACAAGGAACACCUCUGAGCAGUCUUGCAGAGACUCCGUGACCAUCAGUUAUAUGCAAAAUUCAGCAAGUGUGAGUUUUGGCACAAGAAAGUCGGAUUUUUAGGACAUGUUCUGUCAGCAGAAGGCAUAGCUGUGGAUCCCAGCAAAGUGAAAGACGUGCUUGAUUGGGCAGCACCCACGACUGUAUCUGAAAUUUGGUGUUUUCUUGGAUUAGCCGGAUAUUACCACCAGUUCAUCGAAGGAUUUUCCAAGAUCGCCAAGCCAAUGAUAGAGCUCCUCAAGAAAGAUAAGAAGUUUGAAUGGACUAAGGACUGUGAGAAGAGCUUUAAUGAGCUAAAAACCAGAUUAACCUCAGCACCAGUGUUGACUCUCCCAGAUAUUUACCGCGGGUUUGAUGUGUAUUGUGACGCCUCUAGAAAAGGUAUUGGAUGCGUACUCAUGCAAUAUGGCAAGGUGGUAGCCUACGCAUCUCGCCAGCUAAGACCCCAUGAAGGAAAUUACCCUACACAUGAUUUGGAAUUGGCCGCUGUUGUGCACUCUCUAAAGAUUUGGAGACACUACCUCAUUGGAAAAGGAUGUCAAAUAUUUAUCGACCACAAGAGUCUCAAAUAUAUAUUUACUCAGCCAGACUUAAACCUUCGACAACGAAGAUGGCUCGAGUUGGUCAAGGACUAUGAUCUGGGAAUAAAUUACCAUCCGGGAAAAGCUAACAUAGUUGUUGAUGCCCUCAGUCGUAAGCCUGCCAGUUUAAAUGCCAUGAUGGAGUCCUUGCCCCCUGAACUCCAAUGAGAGAUUGUUCAACUUAACUUGGUAAUUGUAAACACCGGCCUUGCAAAUAUUUUGUAAGUAACUCCUACUCUCGAGGAUGAGAUUCGCAUGGCCCAGGCUAACGACGAUAUUCUACAAGGACAUCUCAGACGUUUGCGAAAAGGCAAGACUCGGGAUUUCUCUAAGGACGCACAGGGUACACUCAGGUUUCGAGGACGGAUAUGCCUACCCGAGCAAGCAGACUUGAGAAAGAAGAUUUUGGUAGAAGCACACGAAUCCUUGUAUUCGAUACACCCCGAAGGUACUAAAAUGUACGAAGACCUUCGACAGGUAUUUUGGUGGGAUGGAAUGAAAAAGGACAUCGUAUAUUUCGUCGCGUGUUGUGACAUAUGCAACAAAGUGAAGGCGGAACAUCAGAAACCCGCCGGACUUCUCCACUCUCUACCCGUCUUGCAAUGGAAAUGGGAUGUUGUCUGCAUGGAUUUUAUCACUGGUCUACCCAGGACUCACUGAGGCAAUGAUGUUGUAUCGGUCAUAGUGGACACACUGACUAAAGUGGCUCAUUUCAUCCCAUCCACACCACAUAUCACGCUGAUCAACUUGCACAAUUAUAUGUGUCCCGGAUUGUCAGUAUUGCAUGGAGAGCCAAGAACAAUCACUUCAGAUCGAGGUUCACUCUUCACAUCCGCAUUCUGGUCCCGACUACAUCAAGCUUUGGGGACCACCCUCAAAUACAGCAUGGCCUAUCACCCACAGACAGACGGUCAGACUGAGCGGGUAAAUCAAAUCCUUGAAGACAUGCUUCGAGCAUGUGCUUUAGCCCAUGGACCCAAGUGGGAAGAUUGUCUGCCAUAUGCAGAAUUCUCAUACAACAACAGUUUCCAAACCAGUCUGAAGAUGUCAUCAUAUGAAGCUUUGUAUGGUCGUAAGUGCCGCACUCCAUUAAACUAUUCUCAAACCGGAGACAGCCGUAUCUUCGGAAGUGAUUUAAUAUUGGAAGCAGAGAAACAAGUCAAGGAAAUCCGAGAUAGACUGUAGUUGGCUAAGUCACGACAGAAGAGUUAUUAUGAUGCCAAACACCCGCAAGUCAGUUUUGAGCCUAGAGAACAUGUGUAUCUCCGAGUCACACCCAUGAAGGGAAUCAAGCGAUUUCAGACCCGAGCAAAUUGGCACCAAGAUAUAUUGGUCCGUUCCCAGUCAUGACCAGAGUUGGCAUAGUUGCUUAUCAGUUGGAAUUGCCACCUGAAUUGUCAGAAGUACACAAUGUGUUCCACGUCUCACAGCUGAGAAGGUGUAUUUCACCACCUGAGAAAAGGACUGAUAUGUCAGAAACUGAGCUUGCAAAUGAUCUAACCUAUGAGGAGAGACCAUUCCGAAUUUUGGAUCAGGCAGAAAGGGUCACACGCAGUAAGGCAAUCAAGUUUUAUAAGGUUUAGUGGGAGCAUCACACCGAGGAAGAAGCAACGUGGGAAAGAGAGGAAUUUUUAAGGACAAGCUAUCCAGAAUUGUUUUCCCAAGCAACCGAAUCUCGAGGACGAGAUUCAUCCUAAGUGGGGGAGGUUUGUGAGAGCCUCGAUUUGCCUUCUCUCUUUUUCCGGACUUCCUAUUGCCUUACUUUGGAUUUGGAGUUUUGAAUCGAUUCAAAUGGACUUGAACACUUGGGCCUACCCUUGAUUUUCACCCAAGUGACCCAUCCACCCCUAGCUCAACUUUCUUUCUCUGAAAAACUCCAAAAAUAACCCAAGGAAUAUGUUUCAUAAAACAAAAAUAUUCAUUUUCUUCCCUGAAAAUCACUUCGGAGAAGUAUGCUCCAAAGCAACCCUCAUUUGUAUUGCUCCAAAAAUCCUGAGAAAAUUCACAAAUAUUCUUUGGACCCUAGGGCACCUCCCUGAGCAAAAAUAUUGCAUAGCUUUUUCGAAUAUUUUUGCUACAGAAAAUCAUUUCUCUUCUAGACAAAUUAGCCACUUUACACAUCAAGUAUAUUUUUCCAUGAUCCUUUGGGGCUGAUCUUUUCUGAGCUUCAUUACCUUCCUAAGAGAAUGCUAAACCCCAAAGCACAACCCUUAAUUUUUGCUAGAUCUCUCACAGUUAACUUCACAAGUUUCUGUCUAGAAACUUGCCAGGAAGAAGCCCACUCGCACAGCUCACCUGUGACCCAUCCAAACACAUAGAACAGCCAAACCACUAAGGAAUACACGUCAGGCAUGAAGUUUACGCUUAGAUCAGUUGAGGUCAAAGUUCACACGGUGACCGCGUUCGUCCAGGGGUGUUGGCAUGCGUCCAGUGCACUCUAUGACGCGCCCGCGUCUCUGUUGAGCACGUGCUCGCUUCCCCGGCCUCCGCACCUUGCCAAACCGCACCACCAUCCUCGUCUCCACCACCUUAACUCCGCCCUGGCGCUCGCCCAGCGAGCACGGGUACGAUGCGGCCAAGCCAACAGUGCGCCCAUGCCCAUGUGCUUGUCGCGUACCUGGCUCCUGUACUCGGCUCUGCUCGCCCAAAGUUCCCGCGUGAGCCACAAUGUCUUCUCCCCCUAUCACUGACGCCAUUCUUCGUUGGGCGCCCUUCCAGAGAACUCUGGCGGGCCCUUGAUCCCCGCCUUGGCCUCCCCUAUAAAUAGAUCCCUCCCUGUCGGUGUCAAAACCGGCGGAUCUCGGGUAGGGGGUCCUGAACUGUGCGUCUAAGGCUAAUGGUAACAGGAGGCGGGGGACACAAUGUUUACCCAGGUUCGGGCCCUCUCGAUGGAGGUAAUACACUACUUCCUACUUGACUGAUCUUGAUGAUAUGAGUAUUACAAGAGUUGAUCUACCACGAGAUCGUAAAGGAUAAACCCUAGAAGCUAGCCUGUGAUUAUGAUUGUUGUUGUCCUAUGGACUAAACCCUCCAGUUUAUAUAGACACCGGAGGGGGCUAGGGUUACACAGAGUCGGUUACAGAGAAGGAGGUCUACAUAUCUGGAUUGCCAAGCUUGCCUUCCACGCAAAGGAGAGUCCCACCCGGACACGGGAUGAAGUCUUUAAUCUUGUAUCUUCAUAGUCCAAUAGUCCGGCAUAAGUACAUAGUCCGGCUAUCCGAGGACCCCCUAAUCUAGGACUCCCUCAAUAGCCCCUGAACCAGGCUUCGAUGACGAUGAGUCCGAUGCACAGAUUGUCUUCGGCAUUGCAAGGCGGGUUCCUUCUCCGAAUACUCCAUAGAAGAUUUUGAACACAAGGAUCGUGUCCGGCUCUGCAAAACAAAUUCCACACACCACCGCAGAGAGCACAAUAUUCCACAAAUCUAAUCUGCUGACAACUUUUCAUAGCGUGACAUCACGCCUCGGCCCGGUCAUUAUUCGAACCAUUUUCCAACCUGCUACCGCACAUAUCGCAAGGCGGUUUUAUUGGCAUGUCUUGUUGAAGCAGAGAUCGUGUCCCCUUAUCUCGGGAUUCUCAUCAAUACGGGUGUGGGUAACCCAACCGCGCCAUCAAUGCGGCGCUUGGUGAAUAAGCGAGUUUACCGGGAAAGUGGGGAGGCGCAGGAUCACUGCUGCAUUUAUAAGGAGAUAAGGACUCCCCUUUUUCUCCCACGCCUUCUCUUUUCUCUGCUCAUCCAUUCCCUCCUUGCUCGAGCUCCAGCGCCCAAGCGUUCAUCUUCUUCGCCCAAAAAAGGUCUUCCGUAAAUGUCCAGAUACGGAGCAGGAGGCAAGUGGAUGGCCUCUACCGUCCGGGAGAAGGAUAUCAAAAAGCUUCGGAAGGCUGGGUAUCUGGCCAAGAAAAUCAGCCACCGUCUUCCGACGGCGGGACAGAUCAUCCCUACUCUGGAACCCCACGAGAGGGUUGUAUUCCUCCCUCAUUUUGUCUGUGGGCUAGGGUUUCCCCUCCACCCAUUCUUUCGCGACAUCAUGUAUUAUUAUGGGAUCGAUUUUCAUGAUCUAUCCCCCUAUUCCUUCCUCAACAUCUCGACAUUCAUCGUCGUGUGCGAGGCCUUCCUCCGCAUCUCGCCACACUUCGGCUUAUGGCUGAAGAUCUUUAACGUGAAGCCCAAGGUAGUGAGCGGCGAGCACACCGAGUGCGGAGGCGCCAUGGUGAGCAAGAUGCUCAACGUCACAUGGCCAACAGGUACUUUCAAUGAUUUCGUCAAAGAGUGGCAGCAGUAGUGGUUUUACAUCACUGAGCUGCACGACACGGAAUGGGCCGCCGCUCCCAAAUUCCGAUCCGGAGCCCCCUGCGGCUUACGUCCUGGCCCAAGAAGGUCUUGAACUGGUCUAUGUUCGACGAGUUGUCGGCGCUCCAGACGCGCGUCAAGGAUAUGGAAGACAAGAAUAUCAAACUUGUCAAUGUAGUCCAGGUGAUGUUAGCUCAUCGGAUUCUUCCUUGUCAACACAGGGCUUGCAAUUUAUGGGAAUUCGACCCGGCCAAGCACUAGACCCUGCUAGAGCUCUUCGGCUCCUCGCACAAGGACAUUCGGAAGGUGCUCUUUAAGUCCGGCAAAUCGUGGCCGGACUCCGCCGAGGACCGCGGUACCAACUGUCCCGCCCUGCAAGUUCGGUAAGUCAUUGUAUGUUGGCAAUUCAUAUGUUUUAUUCGCAUAUCCUGACAAAAAUGCUUAAUGUGUUUUCCACAACUCUCCUAGGGCUGGAUGAAGAAGGCGGGGCGGAUCUACUGUCUGGCCCCUCUGCCGGAAGAACUGGCCGGCCCACUUCUGACAAAGAUGUUGGUCCUGGCGCCUUACAAGGCGCCGAAGAAGAAGGCCGAGAAGGAGGCCAAAAAGACCUGGGGCGGCCUUCGUUACCGUGGCACUUUGGACACAAUGUCCGAAGACUCUGAUGCCCGAUCUUCCUCCGGAGAGGACAAGGAAGAGGAGGAAAACCCAUACCCAGCAAGGGGAGGAAAAAAAGGACGGCCUCCACAUCUUUGGAGGCCGAGUCGCCUAAGAAGGGAAAAACUCCCCUUCCAAAGGAGUCCAGCGCUGCCGCCGACAGCAGCCCGGAGUGGGAUCCCAGGGCCCAGCCCCUGGUGAACUCGUAAGUAAAAAUCCAAAUAUGUUUAUGCGUCCAGACUCGUCAUGGCAUAAUAUCUUAAUCUGAGCCAUACUAUUUUGCAGUCCAGCGAGGUCCCACAACGAACAAUCCUCGGAUGCUAUGGAGAGCGGGACACUCCCGAAGGCUCCUUCCCCCAAACAUGUGAAUGACACCGAGGUUUCAUCCCAGAAGGACCCAGGCCAAGGAGGGGAGAAAAGGUCGUAAAGGCGGCGCCAGGAGGUCAAACUUCGAGGGUCGGACACAUGGGAGAGAAGGCUCCCACGGACAUUGACGGCGGGGGCUAUCUUGAGUUUGGCCCCCAGCCGGACGCGAUUUUUGAGACCAAUAUGACUCCAGAAGCAGGCAGGCGGCCUCCCUCGACUGGAGGUAGUGUGCCCGUUCCACCGGCAACCUCUGUCCAACUAGAGGUGCCGGAUACUUUAUCGGCGGCGCUGAAAAGCGCCUCCAUCAUCGAUGAACACCGUGCCCUUAUGGGUGCGGUGAUUGAGAAGAUUUAGUCCGCUAAAAGUGGACUGAAUGAAGUCUGCAUCAGCCUUAUAACGGGCCUUGAGGUAUGUUUUGUGAGGUUUCGAAGAGUGUCAUAGUAUAGGUAGUAGCCCCUGAUACACUGUUCGGUGAAAGAAAGAACCAAACAGAGGAUCAAAUAAAUGUUCGCAAGAGACUCACUUUAUGGCAUCUCUCUUUUGUUCAAAAGCAGGCAUCUGUAGCAACUACCGCCUCUCAAACUGCAGAAGUCUCCGGACUGAGGCAGAGUCUGGAGCGGGCCGAAGGAGAACUCGGCCAAGUGAAGAAGCAGCUGGAGGAUAACCAAGGUAUGCAGAAACCUUGUUCGCAUUCAGCACAAAUGAAUUAGUUAGUAUGAUGAUAAUAUUUCAAUGAUGUGCUCUAGGGGCGGCGGCCGAAAUUGAGGCUCUUAAGAAGGCUGUGGCCAAAGCCGAGAAGAAGGCAGCCGCAGAGCAGGCUCUUCGUGAAAAGCACGAGGCCGGGGUUAUUGAAGCUGAGCGAGAGCUUCAAGAGGCCGUGAAGAAAUGUGAGACCUUGGAGCAGAGUAUAUCAGGGAAAGAAUCCGAACUCUUCGAAGCUCGCCAAGCCGCAAGCGAUGCCCGGGGGGAAGCCCAAGGUGCCCUGAAGGAAAUCCGGGAGGCGAGGAAGACUGCGGUUGGUAAGGCUUUUUCUAUACAAAUCGGGUAUUUGAAAGGAGAAAAUCAAGUUGAUAAUUUGAAUUCUGAUUUCUCCAGGGGUGUUUGCGGAGCUGCCACGGAGCAUAUCUGAUGUCACACAAUUCUAUCGAGCUGAAGAAAGGAGCACUGCGGAGAAGCUCUUCUGGUCGCAGUAUCUGGCGCCGGUGUAUCCGGUGCCACUUGCCGAUCAGCUGAAGCAGUUGAUCGAACUACAUAAGGCGGCCGAACUAGCCAUGAAGGAUUUAAUUAUCUGGCUAUGGCCCGUUGAGCCGAUUCCAAGCAGCUACUUCGGGCUCGUGAAGCGGCUUGUGAGUGCCUGCCCUCGACUUGAUGUCAUCAAGCGGUCGGUCUGUAUUGAGGGUGCACGAAUGGCCUUCUCCCACGCAAAGGUGCACUGGGGGAAGAUGGAUGCUGAAAAGCUGAUGACCGAGGGACCGCCAGAGGGGAAGGAGCACCGCAGGCCCGAACUAUAUUAUGAUAGUGUACUAAAAGGAUCUCGCCUUGCGGCGGAGCAAUGCACCAAGGACAUUAUAUUUCCAUGAAUACAGUCAUGUUGUCCUUUGUAACGUUGAACAAGGUCAUUUCUAUUAUUUAUUGCCAUUUGAAAGUUUUUCCUCCUAUGCAGCCAUUUUAUAUAUUAAUCCAUAGAGUUGACCAGUCGUCGGCUUCUGCCCCCACGUAGGAAGUACGGGGGUGUUCGGGAUAAACCUAAGCACUCUUUACCCCAGUUUUGGGUCCUUGAAGGAGGUGUUCAGCGCAACGAACCAGGCAAUCGGACUAUAGGGCUUUAUCACUCUCACUUAGCCAUAGGAGUGUGACAAAAGGAAGGUAGGCGCAGCCCCUGGUGUUUGGAAGACCGCACGAGGGGCUCUAUAAGCACCUGAUUGGAAGAAAAGCCGAUCCAUCGCAUGCUGCAUUGGUUAUCGCAUAAUGCGGAAGAAAUCCUUAAAGAUUUUACAACCUCUCGAACAGCUGACCAGCUCUCGCCGUAUCAUGACAGUCAGUUUUUGGCUUUCUCUACUGAGGCACUCGUCCGGAAGAACCGGGACACAAUCGCAGUAGUUCUCCCUGUGCCGCCCUAGCCGAUAUAGCGGAACGUAAGGCAGUAAAACACAGGAGCCGGGAAAACCCAACUAUUGACCCAGGACAUGAUUCGGAGCUGAUGCAUAUAAUGCUAUAAGUUCUAGGUGCCGAACGACCAUGAAGGUGGUCGGACUUUAUUGUCGUAUUAUGGGUACAAUGAAGCCCCUGGCAUAUUAAGGCAUAUCACGAUGUACGGGUGACAUUUGACAAAGAGUGUCAAUAAGAAACAACAGCAGAUGAGCGUCAUAUAAAGCCACAUGUUGUAAUUCAAUAACACGUCGAUGCAUAUGAGUACAGGUAAUCUGAUGAAAAUAAACAUGAUUUUGGAACCUGUUGAGACCAGGCGGGAGGAGGCUGUGUGCGGAUCCGGAGUGUGGUCGGAUGGUCAUCGAGGGGAAUAUCUAGAGAUUUCCUUGUGCGUUCAAGCUAUUUCCAUGUCACCGGACCUGGCCUAUGCAAAAGUGAACCUACAAAGAAAAUGCAAGAAACGUUUGUGUGUCAUGUAGCGGUUAAGCUGCAGUGUGUGGCCUAUCUAGGCUAUGCCUCGUUUUACUGCCAGAGUGUUUUAGUUAAGCUCCGAACAAGCCGGGCUAUCCCGCCGCGAAGUAGUUCAGACUCCCGUGACGGUGUCCGGGAGUUUGGCCGUCGCCUUGAGGUUCGAUUGAAAGAUGCCACUCGUUUCUUCUUCUGCUAAGGCGGUGGUAUACUCUUUGGCAUAGAGGGGGGGUUCGGCCAUGCCAUUAACUGUUAUGACACCGCGCGGACCGGGCAUAUUGAGUUUUUGGUAGGCAUAAUGUGGCACCGCGUUGAAUUGAACAAACGCGGUAGCAGUGCAUGAUAAUUAUUGUGAAAAGGGACGAUGUCGAAGAUUAAAUCUUUGGUACGGUAAUUGUUCGGUGAUCCGAAGACUACCUCCAGAGUGAUGGAGCCUGUACAACAGGCCUCUACACCUGGUAUAACACCUUUAAAGGUGCUUUUAGUGGGCUUGAUCAUCGAACGAUCAAUACCCAUCUUGCGCAUUGUGUCCUGAUACAGUAGGUUUAGACUACUGCCUCCAUCCAUAAGGACUCGUGUGAGGUGGAAUCCGUCAAUUAUUGGGUCAAGGAAGAGUGCGGCUGAAUUACCCUGAUUGGUAUUGGUCGGACGAUCCAUACGAUCGAAAGUGAUUGGCCAUUUUACAUAUUGUGGGGCGACUGGCUCCGUUAAGUCGACAUCCCUAAGAGUACACGUUCAUUCUAGUUUGGGAAUGCGGAUGGCGUUUAUCAUAUUCACCGUUUUGAUUUGCGGGGGAAAUUUCUUUUGCCCUCCUUUGUUUGGUGAUUGGGGCUCCUCGUCAUCGUCAUUGCUUUGAGACCCUUUCUCCUUGUUUUCGGCACCUGACCUGCCGGCUUGUUUGAAGACCCAGCAUUCUCGGUUGGUAUGAUUGGCUGCUGUUCCUGGGGUGCCGUGAAUUUGGCAUGGAUGAUCGAGUAUGCGGUCCAGACCGGAUGGGCCCGAAUUGUUCUUUUGGAAUGGCUUUUUCCGCUGACCGGACUUAGAUCCACGGAAUCCGGCAUUGGCUGUCGUGUCUUUGGCAUUAUCACCAUUUUUGUGACGCUUGUGUUUGUUGUGUCGGGGCUUGCCGUUGCUAUCUCUGGCCUCUGAUGUGCCAGGAUUACAUGUUGUGUUGUUGCUACGAGCCAACCAGCUAUCCUUGCCCGCACAAAAGCGGGUCAUGAGUGUCGUGAGGGCGGCCAUGGACUUCGGCUUUUCUUGGCCAAGAUGUCGGGCCAGCCACUUGUCGCGGAUAUUAUGCUUAAAGGCCGCUAGGGCUUCGGCAUCCGGACAGUUUUAAGCAAUUUUUGAGUGAAAUAACAUUGUUUUUCAAUAAGAGAUGGGUAAAUAGGCCAAUAUAUACUUGUAGGCAGUACAGUUCUGGGAAUACUAUUGCUGAUGAAUGUUUAAUCUCAUCUCCAAAAACUUGCUUCAUAGAUCUUUUUUUCUUCUUGAGAAUCUUCACAAAUCAAUUUGGUCUGAUGUAUACUUGCAGGUUUAUCUCGAUGAAAAGGUUCUUUCAAUAUUAGGUUGAUGCUUCAGCUAAGCAUCUCUCUUUUUUAAUCUAUAGUGGAUAUUGUCUAACAUUACUUUCCUACUAACAGGUAUUUUCAUAUGGCUAAAAGAAUCAACUGCUAGAGAUUUCAGAAACUGUUCAACUAUGUAAUUUUUGUUAUGUCUUUUUCGGUCAGUUUUGGACUUUAACUGAAGGAAAUAUGCUCUAGAGGCAAUAAGUAAGUUGUUGUUUUAUAUUUCCUUAUAUCAUGAUUAAUGUCUAUUAUUCAUGCUAGAAUUGUAUUAACCGAAAACUUGAUACAUGUGUGGAUACAUAGACAAAACACUGUGUCCCUAGUAUGCCUCUACCUGACUAGCUUGUUAAUCAAAGAUGGUUAAGUUUCCUAACCAUAGACAUGUGUUGUCAAUUUGAUGAAUGGGAUCACAUCAUUAGGAGAAUGAUGUGAUGGACAAGACCAAAUUGUUAACUUAGCAUAAUGAUCGUUCAGUUAUAUUGCUACUGCUUUCUUCAUGUCAAAUACAUAUUCCUCCGACUAUGAGAUUAUGCAACUCCGGAUACCGGAGGAAUGCCUUGUGUGCUACUGCUAUCAAACGUCACAACGUAACUGGGUGAUUAUAAAGAUGCUCUAUGGGUAUCUCCGAAGGUGUUUGUUGGGUUGGCAUAGAUUGAGAUUAGGAUUUGUCACUCCGAGUAUCGGAGAGGUAUCUCUAGGCCCUCUCAAUAAUGCACAUCAUAAGAAGCCUUGCAAGUAAUGUGACUAAUGAGUUAGUUGCGGGACCAUGCAUAACAGAACAAGUAAAGAGACUUGUCAGUAAUGAGAUUGAACUAGGUAUGAAGAUACCAACGAUCGAAUCUCGGGCAAGUAACAUACGGAUGACAAAGGGAAUAACGUAUGUUGUCAUAACGGUUCGACUGAUAAGAUCUUCGUAGAAUAUGUGGGAGCCAAUAUGAGCAUCCAGGUUCCACUAUUGGUUAUUGACCGGAGAGGUGUCUCGGUCAUGUUUACAUAGUUCUCGAACCCGUAGGGUCCGCACGCUUAAUGUUCGAUGACGUUUUGUACUAUAUGAGUUAUAUGAUUUGGUGAUCAAAUGUUGUUCGGAGUCUUGGGUGAGAUCAAGAACAUGACGAGGAGUCUCUAAAUGGUCGAGAGGUAAAGAUUGAUAUAUAGGACGAUAGUAUUCGGACACCNNNNNNNNNNNNNNNNNNNNNNNNNNNNNNNNNNNNNNNNNNNNNNNNNNNNNNNNNNNNNNNNNNNNNNNNNNNNNNNNNNNNNNNNNNNNNNNNNNNNNNNNNNNNNNNNNNNNNNNNNNNNNNNNNNNNNNNNNNNNNNNNNNNNNNNNNNNNNNNNNNNNNNNNNNNNNNNNNNNNNNNNNNNNNNNNNNNNNNNNNNNNNNNNNNNNNNNNNNNNNNNNNNNNNNNNNNNNNNNNNNNNNNNNNNNNNNNNNNNNNNNNNNNNNNNNNNNNNNNNNNNNNNNNNNNNNNNNNNNNNNNNNNNNNNNNNAGAGUGGGACAUACCAGCCCCUAAGGGGAUGGUGCGCCCCAUGUAGGCCGAAAUAGAGGGGAGAGGAAAGAGGAGAAGAGAGAAAGGAAGGGGAGGGAAUCGGCUCCCCCUUCCUUCUCUUCCCUCUCCUCCUUCCUUCCCCCUUCAGGAAUUAUGGUAAGGGGGGCGAAUACGAUUAGGGCCCCAAGUAGGAUUCCUCCUACUUAGGCGCCCCCUUGGCUGUCCCCUCUCCCUCCCACCUAUAUAUAUGAAGGGGGAGGCGCCUAGAACAUACAAUAUUGAUUCCUAGCCGUGUGCGGCACCCCCCCUCCAUAGUUUACGCCUCCGGUCAUAUUCACGUAGUGCUUAGGUGAAGCCCUGCGUGGACCACUUCACCAUCACCAUCACCACGCCAUCGUGCUGACGCAACUCUCCCUGGACACUUUGCUAGAUCAAGAGUUCGAGGGACGUCAUCAAGCUGAACGUGUGUAGAACUCAGAGGUGUCAUACGUUCGGUGCUUGAUCGGUCGGAACAAGAAGAAGUUCGACUACAUCAACCGCGUUAACAAACACUUCUGCUUUCGGUCUACAAGGGUACAUGGACACACUGUCCCCCUCUCGUUGCUAUGCAUCUCCUAGAUAGAUCUUGCGUGAGCGUAGGAUUUUUUUUGAAAUUGCAUGCUAUGUUUUCCAACAGUGGCAUCCGAGCCAGGUCUAUGCAUAGAUGGUAUGCAUGAGUAGAACACAAAGAGUUGUGGGCGGUGAUCGUCAUACUUCUUACCACCAAUGUCUUAUUUUGAUUCGGAGAUAUUGUUGGAUGAAGCGCCCAGACCAACCUUACAUGACCACAUUCAUAAGACCGGUUCACCGACGGACAUGCAACUAGUUUUGUAUAAAGGUGGUUGGCGGGUGUCUGUUUCUCCAACUUUAGUUGAAUCGAAUUUGACUGUGGCCAGUCCUUGUUGAAGGUUAAAACAGCAAAGUUGAUAAAUCACCGUUGUGGUUUUGUGCCGUAGGUAAGAACGGUUCUUGCUAGAAGCCCGUAGCAGCCAACUUGCAACAACAAAGUAGAGGACGUCUAACUUGUUUUUGCAGGGCAUGUUGUGAUGUGAUAUGGCCAAGACAUGAUGUGAUAUACAUUGUUGUAUGAGAUGAUCAUGUUUUGUAAAAGUUAUCGGCAACUGGCAGGAGCCUUAUGGUUGUCGCUUUAUUGUACGAAAUGCAAACGCCAUGUAAUUGCUUUACUUUAUCACUAAGCAGUAGGGAUAGUUGUAGAAUCAAUAGUUGGCGAGACAAACACGACGCUAUGAUACGUCUCCAACGUAUCUAUAAUUUAUGAAGCAUUCAUGAUUUUAUAUUAUCUAUUUUGGAUGUUUAUGGGCUUUACUAAGAACUUUUAUAUUAUUUUUGGGACUAACCUAUUAACCGGAGGCCCAGCCCAUAUUGUUGUUUUCUUGCCUAUUUCAGUGUUUCGAAGAAAAGGAAUAUCAAACGGAGUCCAAACGGAAUGAAACCUUCGGGAAAGUUAUUUUUGGAAUGGAAGCAAUCCAGGGGACUUGGAUUGCACGUAAGGGAAGCUUUGAGGUGGCCACGAGGCAGGGAGGCGCGCCCACCUCCCCUGGGCGCGCCCCCACCCUCGUGGACCCCUCGUGGCUCUCCUGACCGACUUCUUUCACCUAUAUACCCCAUAUACCCAAAAAACAUCGAGGACAACAAUAGAUCGGGAGUUCCGCCGCCGGAAGCCUCUGUAGCCACCAAAAACCUCUCGGGAUCCCGUUCCGGCACCCUGUCGGAGGGGGGAUCCCUCACCGGUGGCCAUCUUCAUCAUCCCGGCUCUCUCCAUGACGAGGAGGGAGUAGUUCACCCUCGGGGCUGAGGGUACGUACUAGUAGCUAUGUGUUUGAUCCCUCUCUCUCGUGUUCUUGACUUCGCACAAUCUUGAUGUGUCGCGAGCUUUGCUACUAUAGUUGGAUCUUAUGAUGUUUCUCCCCCUCUACUCUCUUGUAAUGCAUUGAGUUUUCCCUUUGAAGUUAUCUUAUCGGAUUGAGUCUUUAAGGAUUUGAGAACACUUGAUGUAUGUCUUGCAUGUGCUUAUCUGUGGUGACAAUGGGAUAUCACGUGAUCUACUUGAUGUAUGCUUUGGUGAUCAACUUGCGGGUUCAGUGACCUUGUGAAGUUAUGCAUAGGGGUUGGCACAUGUUUUCAUCUUGACUCUCCGGUAGAAACUUUGGGGAACUCUUUGAAGUUCUUUGUGUUGGUUGAAUAGAUGAAUCUGAGAUUGUGUGAUGCAUAUCGUAUAAUCAUGUCUGCGGAUACUUGAGGUGACAUUGGAGUAUCUAGGUGACAUUAGGGUUUUGGUUGAUUUGUGUCUUAAGGUGUUAUUCUAGUACGAACUCUAUGAUAGAUCGAACAGAAAGAAUAGCUUCGUGUUAUUUUACUACAGACUCUUGAAUAGAUCGAUCAGAAAGGAUAACUUUGAGGUGGUUUCGUACCCUACAAUAAUCUCUUCAUUUGUUCUCCGCUAUUAGUGACUUUGGAGUGACUCUUUGUUGCAUGUUGAGGGAUAGUUAUAUGAUCCAGUUAUGUUAUUAUUGUUGAGAGAACUUGCACUAGUGAAAGUAUGAACCUUAGGCCAUGUUUCCUACCAUUGCAAUACCGUUUACGCUCACUUUUAUCAUUAGUUACCUUGCUGUUUUUAUAAUUUCAGAUUACAAAUACCUAUAUCUUCCAUCCAUAUUGCACUUGUAUCACCAUCUCUUCGCCGAACUAGUGCACCUAUACAAUUUACCAUUGUACUGGGUGUGUUGGGGACACAAGAGACUCUUUGUUGUUUGGUUGCAGGGUUGUUUGAGAGAUACCAUCUUCAUCCUAUGCCUCCCAUAGAUUGAUAAACCUUAGGUCAUCCACUUGAGAGAAAUUUGCUACUGUCCUACAAACCUCUGCACUUGGAGGCCCAACAACGUCUACAAUAAGAAGGUUGUGUAGUAGACAUCACGCUAUGAUGGAAAUCAAGGUGUCAAGCCGGUGAUGAUGGAGAUCAUGACAUUGCUUUGGAGAUGGAGAUCAAAAGCACAAUAUGAUGAUGGCCAUAUCAUGUCACAUAUUUUGAUUGCAUGUGAUGUUUAUCUUUAUGCAUCUCAUUUUUCUUAGUACGGCGGUAGCAUUAUAAGAUGAUCCCUUAACUAAAUUUCAAGUUAUAAGUGUUCUCCCCGAGUAUGCACUGUUGUGACAGUUCUUCGUGAUGAGACACCAUGUGAUGAUCGGGUGUGAUAGGCUCUAUGUUCACAUACAACGGGUGCAAGCCAGUUUUGCACAUGCGGAAUACUCGGGUUAAACUUGACAAGCCUAGCAUGUACAGACAUGGCCUCGGAACACUGGAGACCAAAAGGUUGAACGUGAAUCAUAUAGUAGAUAUGAUCAACAUAGAGAUGUUCACCAUUGAUGACUACUCCAUCUCAUGUGAUGAUCGGACAUGGUUUAGUUGAUUUGGAUCACGUAUCAUUUAGAUGACUUGAGGGGUGUCUAUCUAAGUGGGAGUUGUUAAGUAAUAUGAUUAAUUGAACUUAAAUUUAUCAUGAACUUAGUCAUGAUAGUAUUUGCAUAUCUAUGUUGUAGAUCAAUAGCUCGCAUUGUAGCUCCCUAUGUUUUUUCUUAUGUUCCUAGAGAAAGCUAAGUUGAAAUAUGAUAGUAGCAAUGAUGCGUAUUGGGUCCAUGAUCUAAGGAUUAUCCUCAUUGCUGCAUAGAAGAAUUAUGUCCUUGAUACACCGCUAGGUGACAGACCUAUUGCAGGAGCAGAUGCAGACAUUAUUAACGUUUGGCAAGCUCGAUAUGAUGACUACUUGAUAGUUUAGUGCACCAUGCUUUAUGGCUUAGAAUCGGGGCUUCAAAGACGUUUUGAACACCACGGAGCAUAUGAUAUGUUCCAAGAGCUGAAAUUGGUAUUUCAGACUCAUGCCCGUGUCGAUAGGUAUGAGACCUCUGACAAGUACUUUGCCUACAAGAUGGAGGAGAAUAGCUCAGCUAGUGAGCAUGUGCUCAGAAUGUCUGGGCACUACAAUCGCUUGAAUCAAGUGGGAGUUAAUCUUCCAAAUAAGAUAGUGAUUGACAGAGUUCUCUAGUCACUAUUACCAAGCUACUAGAACUUCGUAUGAACUAUAAUGUGCAAGGGAUAACGAAAAAUAUUCUCGAUCUCUUUGCAAUGCUAAAAUCAGCGAAGGUAGAAAUCAAGAAAGAGCAUCAAGUGUUGAUGGUUACACUAGUUUCAAGAAGAAGGGCAAAGGGAAAGAAAGGGAACUUCAAGAAGAAUGGCAAGCAAGUUGUCACUUCCAUGAAGAAGCCCAAAGUUGGACCUGAGCCUGAAGUUGAGUGCAUUUAGUGCAAAGGAAAUGGUCACUAGAAGCGGAACUACCCCAAAUAUUUGGCAGAUAAGAAGGAUGGCAAAGUGAACAAAGGUAUAUUUGACAUACAUGUUAUUGAUGUGUACCUUACUAGUGCUCAUAGUAGCCUCUAAGUAUUUGAUACAUGUUCGCUUGCUAAGAUUAGUAACUUGAAACAGGAGUUGCAGAAUAAAUGGAGACUAGUUGAGGGUGAAGUGACCAUGUGUGUUGGAAGUGGUUCCAAGAUUGAUAUGAUCAUCAUCGCACACUCCCUAUACUUUCGGGAUUAAUGUUGAACCAAAUGUUAUUUGGUGUUUGCGUUGAGCAUGAGCAAGAUAGGAUUGUGUUUAUUGUAAUACGGUUAUUCAUUUAAGACAGAUAAUAAUUGUUAUUCUGCUUACAUGAAUAAAACCUUCUAUGGUCAUGCACCCAAUGUUAAUGGUUUAUUGAAUCUCGAUCGUACUGACACACAUAUUCAUAAUAUUGAUGCCAAAAGAUGCAAAGUUGAUAAUGAUAGUGCAACAUACUUGUGAUACUGCCAUUUAGGUCAUAUUGGUAUAAAGCGCAUGAAGAAACUCCAUGCUGAUGGGCUUUUGGAAUCACUUGAUUAUGAAUCAUUUGAUACAUGCGAACCAUGCCUCAUGGGCAAGAUGACUAAAACUCCGUUCUCCGGAACAAUGGAGCGAGCCAAUGACUUAUUGUAAAUAAUACAUACUGAUGUAUGCGGUCCGAUGAGUGUUGAGGCUUGCGGCAGGUAUCGUUAUUUUCUGACCUUCACAGAUGAUUUGAGCAGAUAUGGGUAUAUCUACUUAAUGAAACACAAGUUUGAAACAUUUGAAAAGUUCAAAGAAUUUCAGAGUGAAGUGGAUAAUCAUCAUAACAAGAAAAUAAAGUUUCUACGAUCUGAUCGCGGAGGUGAAUAUUUGCGUUACGAGUUUGGCCUUCAUUUAAAACAAUGUGGAAUCGUUUCACAACUCACACCACCUAGAACACCACGGCGUAAUGGUGUGUCCGGGCGUCGUAACCGUGCUUUAGUAGAUAUGAUGCGAUCUAUGAUGUCUCUUGCCGAUUUACCACUGUCGUUUUUGGGUUAUAUGCAUUAAAGAUAUAUGCAUUCACGUUAAAUAGCGCACCGUCAAAAUCCGUUGAGAUGACGCCGUAUGAACUGUGUUUUGCCAAUAAACCUAAGUUAUCGUUUCUUAAAGUUUGGGGUAGCGAUGCUUAUGUCAAAAGGCUUCAGCUUGAUAAGCUCGAACCCAAAUCGGAGAAGUGUGUCUUCAUAGGAUACCCUAAGGAAACAAUUGGGUACACCUUCUAUCACAGAUCCGAAGGCAAGAUCUUUGUUGCCAAGAAUGGAACCUUUCUAGAGAAGGAGUUUCUCUCGAAAGAAGUGAGCGGGAGGAAGUAGAACUUGAUGUGGUAAUUGUACCUUCUCUCAAAUUGGAAAGUAGGUCAUCACAGAAAACCGUUCCCGUGAUGCCUACACCAACUAGAGAGGAAGCUAAUGAUAAUGAUCAUGAAACUUCAGAUCAAGUUACUACUGAACCUCGUAGGUCAAGCAAAGCACGUUUCGCACCAGAGUGGUACGGUAAUUCUGUUCUAGAAGUCAUGUUACUAGACCAUGAUGAGCCCACCAACUAUGAAGAAGCGAUGAUGAGCCCAGAUUCCGAUAAAUGGCUUGAGGCCAUAAAAUCUGAGAUAGGAUCCAUGUAUGAGAACAAAGUGUGGACUUUGGUUGACUUGCUCGAUGAUCGGCGAGCCAUAGAAAAUAAAUGGAUCUUCAAGAGGAAGACAGACGGUGAUGGUAGUGUUACUAUCUACAAAGCUUGAAUUGUCACAAAAGGUUUUUGACAAGUUCAAGGUGUUGACUUCAAUGAGAUUUUCUCGCUCGUAUCGAUGCCUAAGUCUGUUCGAAUCAUGUUAGAAAUUGCCGCAUUUUAUGAAAUCUGGCAAAUGGAUAUCAAAACUGCAUUCCUUAAUGGAUUUAUUAAAAAAGAGUUGUAUAUGACGCAACCAGAAGGUUUUGUCAAUCCUAAAGGUGCUAACAAAAUGUGCAAGCUCCGGCGAUCCAUCUAUGGACUGGUGCAGCAUCUCGGAGUUGGAAAUAUACGCUUUAAUGAGUUGAUCAAAGCAUAUAGUUUUAUACAGACUUGCGGUGAAGCCUGUAUUUACAAGAAAGUGAGUGGGAGCACUACAGCCUUUCUGAUAAGUAUAUGUGAAUGACAUAUUGUUGAUCGGAAAUGAUGUAGAAUUUUAUGGAAAGCAUAAAGGAGAGCUUGUAAGGAGUUUUUCAAAGAAAGACCUCGGUGAAGCUGCUUACAUAUUGGGCAUCAAGAUCUAUAGAGAUAGAUCAAGACGCUUGAUAAGAUUUUUCAAUGAGUACAUACCUUGACAACAUUUUGAAGUAGUUCAAAAUGGAACAGUCAAAGAAGGAGUUCUUUCCUGUAUUGCAAGGUGUAAAGUUGAGUAAGACUCAAAACCCGACCACGGCAGAAAAUAGAAAGAGAAUGAAAGUCAUUCCCUAUGCCUCAGCCAUAGGUUCUAUAAUGUAUGCUAUGUUGUGUACCAGACCUAUUGUGUACCUUAUCAUGAGUUUGGCAAGGGGGUACGAUAGUGAUCCAGGAGUGGAUCACUGGACAGCGGUCAAAGUUAUCCUUAGUUACCUAAGAGGACUAAGGAAAUAUUUCUCGGUUAUAGAGGUGAUAAAGAGUUCGCGCAAAGAGUUACGUCGAUGCAAGCUUUUACAUCGAUCCAGAUGACUCUGAGUCUCAAUCUAGAUACAUAUUGAAAGUGGGAGCAAUUAGCUAGAGUAGCUCCAUGCAGAGCAUUGUUGACAUAGAAUAUUUGCAAAAUACAUACGGCUCUGAAUGUGGCAUACCCGUUGACUAAACUGCUCUCACAAGCAAAACAUGAUCACACCUUAGUACUCUUUGGGUGUUAAUCACAUAGCGAUGUGAACUAGAUUAUUGACUCUAGUAAACCCUUUGGGUGUUGGUCACAUAGCGAUGUGAACUAUGGAUGUUAAUCACAUACAGAUGUGAACUAUUGGUGUUAAAUCACAAGGCGAUGUGAACUAGAUUAUUGACUCUAGUGCAAGUGGGAGACUGAAGGAAAUAUGCCCUAGAGGCAAUAAUAAAGUUGUUAUUUUAUAUUUCCUUAUAUCAUGAUGAAUAUCUAUUAUUCAUGCUAGAAUUGUAUUAACCGGAAACUUGAUGCAUGUGUGGAUACAUAGAAAAAACACCGUGUCCCUAGUAUGCCUCUAUCUGACUAGCUCUUUAAUCACAGAUGGUUAAGUUUCCUAGCCAUAGACAUGCGUUGUCAUUUGAUGAAUGGGAUCACAUCAUUAGGAGAAUGAUGUGAUGGACAAGACCCAUUCCUUAGCUUAGCAUAAUGAUCGUUCAGUUUUAUUGCUACUGCUUUCUUCAUGUAAAAUACAUAUUCCUUCGACUAUGAGAUUAUGCAACUCCCGGAUACCGAAGGAAUGCCUUGUGUGCUAUCAAACGUCACAACAUAACUGGGUGAUUAUAAAGAUGCUCUACAGGUAUCUCCGAAGGUGUUUUUUGGGUUGGCAUAGAACGAGAUUAGGAUUUAUCACUCCGAGUAUCGGAGAGGUAUCUCUGGGCCCUCUCGGUAAUGCACAUCAUAAGAAGCCUUGCAAGCAAUGUGACUAAUGAGUUAGUUUCGGGAUGAUGCAUUACAGAACGAGUAAAGAGACUUGUCAGUAACGAGAUUGAACUAGGUAUGAAGAUACCAACGAUCGAAUCUUGGGCAAGUAACAUACCGAUGACAAAGGGAAUAACGGUUUGACUGGUAAAGAUCUUUGUAGAAUAUGUGGGAGCCAAUAUGAGCAUCCAGGUUCCGCUAUUGACCAAGGAGGUGUCUCAGUCAUGUCUACAUAGUUCUCAAACCCGUGGGGUCUGCAUGCUUAACGUUCGAUGACGAUUUGUAUUAUAUGAGUUAUGUGAUUUGGUCACCGAAUGUUGUUCGGAGUCCCGGAUGAGAUCACAGACAUGACGAGGAGUCUCUAAAUGGUCGAGAGGUAAAGAUUGAUAUAUAGAACGAUAGUAUUCGGACACCAGAAGUGUUCCGGGGGUAUCGGGUAUGUAUCGGGUCACCAGAAGGGGUUCCGGGCAUCCCCCCGACAACAUGCGCCUAAUGGGCCAAGAGUGGGACAGACCAGCCCCUAAGGCCUCGUUUGGUUCUUGGGGAUGGAAAAGCCUGUGAGUAAACCCCCGAGCUGGGAAUUCCCUGCUCACAUGGUAUCCCCGUCUAAACCAUGGAGAAUAUCAUGUUGCAGUUUGGAUCGAAUCUUGGAGGAAGGAGAAGGAGGAUUGCAGGCCUAUGACAGAGGGUUGUCGCUGGAGGGAGGCGGUGGAGAAUCGGGCACAGCGUCGUGGGUUUCCUCCCCGACCCCUUGUGACAUGGAAAACUGCCCCGGGGAAACGACAUAGAUCGGGACCCAUAAUCCCUGGUGAGCGAGCGACCAAAUGCUCCUGUAGUUUUCCACGGGCCGACUUGCCUCGUGGGCUGUACGCCCCGGUUUUGGACGGGGAUCCCCGAGGGAUCACGUCGAACCAAACAAGCCCUAAGGGGCUGGUACGCACCAUGUAGGCCGAAAUAGAGGGGGGAGAGGAGAAAAGAGAAAGGAAGGGGAGGGAUUCGGCCUCCCCCUUCCUUCUCUCCCCCCUCCUCCUUACUUGCCCCUUUGGGAAUUAUGGUAAGGGGGGCGAAUAGGAUUAGGGCCCCAAGUAGUAUUCCUCCUACUUGGGCGCCCCCUUGGCUGUUCCCUCUCCCUCCCACCUAUAUAUAUGAAGGGGGUAGGCGCCUAGAACAUACAAUAUUGAUUCCUAGCCGUGUGCGGCGCCUCCCUCCACAGUUUACACCUUCGGUCCUAUUCACAUAGUGCUUAGGCGAAGCCCUGCGUGGAUCACUUCACCAUCAUCGUCACCACGCCAUCGUGCUGAUGCAACUCUCCCUCGACACUUUGCUAGAUCAAGAGUUUGAGGGACGUCAUCGAGUUGAACGUGUGUAGAACUCGGAGGUGUCAUACGUUCGAUGCUUGAUCGGUCGGAACGAGAAGAAGUUCGACUACAUCAACCGCGUUAACAAACGCUUCCGCUUUCGGUCUACGAGGGUACAUGGACACACUCUCCCCCUCUUGUUUUUAUGCAUCUCCUAGAUAGAUCUUGCAUGAGCGUAGGAAUUUUUUUGAAAUUGCAUGCUACGUUUCCCAAUAUUAACUCCCUGUUGUAUGUCCUAAACAUUCCAAAAUUUAGCGAAUAUAUAUUCCAAAAUUUCUCAUGUACUGUUUCUGCAGAGGGAGAAAGGAGUUGAUUGCAGGGCACUAAAAUAUAUCUUGGCUGCCAAAGCUCUGUGAUCACUUACAGAUGUAUAUUAUUCAUGCAGUUUGGGUUAUCUGGGAUCAAUUAGAACAAGGCACUUGGAUAUUGUUUAUAAAGGUGGCAUAUUUUGCCAAUUUAUAAACUUCCUUCUCAAUGUGUUGAUUUAUUCAUGCUAUUUUGAUGAGGAUGGCAUCAAUACCAGUUCAUGGCUAUGCAAGGCAUUAGUGCUUGAUGAUUGGUCAUACAGUGAUGUGUUACUCGUUGGGGCCUUAAUUUGCAGCACAGGUAGAUGCAAUAAGCUCUAAAAACUAGAUUGUUUUUGUUCAUAUGACACGAAGGCAAUGGCAAUUCUUUUGAGGGUGUUGAUCAUUCUUGCCUUUCCCUGAGACCCCGCUAUUCAUUCUACUGCAUAUAAUAUCCAUUGUACCUAUAGAUGAUGCCAUCAUUAUGCUAGACGCAUAAUCUAGAAUACUCCCCUUUGAAAGGGUACAUUAUUUUUAUUAGUUCUUAUAUCUUUUUGUAAAGUUGUGAAAGAAAUAAAUUGUAAAGUUAAAACAAUAUUUACCUGAGCGAUCAAGGGGUUAUCUUAUUUAUUUAUUUAUUUAAUUAAUUUAAAGCCAAUUAAAUUCUCCACUUUGAUUACUACCCAAUUAUGGGUAAGUUUGUGCAAAAUAAAUAUUCAUGUUUUAUAGCUUGGUUUGCUUAAAUUUCCUUUUAUUAUAUGAGCUUAUGAGUAAAAUUAAUAGACAAAUACCACAUAUUUACAAAUACGUAUCAUUUUAUUGUCCAAAUGGAUGGGCGCUGCAACGCGUGCCAUCAGUGAUCUAGUUAUAAUCAGAAGAUCCCCAUGCUUCGGACCCAGUCGGCUCAUUUUGGUGGCGUGACGUGCUCAAACUCACCCCAAAUUACAGAGGAGUCUCACGGGUCAACAUCGUCUGUGGCACCACGACGCUUUUUUGGAAGGAUUUGUGGUCCAAUGAGCUCCUCCAAGUUUCCCACCGCACGCUUUCUCCUGCACCUCAAAUGAAGACAUCUCGGUCAAAGAUUUCUUGAGGAUCACGUCGCUGGGAGAGGCCUUUCACCUUCCACUCUCACGGCAAGCCCAUGCAGAGAUCCGAGACAUGCAAACGAUCACUACCUCAUUACAGCCUAUGGCUGCCAUCUCGGAUGUGUGGCACUAUAUUUGGGGCAAAACGGUCUUCAAAUCCACGGACUAUUAUCAUUUUUUUCUUCCGCGAGGUUCAAACACACCAAGUCUUUGCACGGCUCUGGAAAUCCGAAUGUACAAUGAAAAUGAAUGUUUUGCUCGCUAUUGAAGAAAUGGUGGAUCACAUGAUAUUUGCGUGCACCUUGAGCCACCAAUGUUGGGCCAUCCUGGGCCUGAACUGGGAACCUUUCUGUGGCCGUUUACAAGCUGUCCAGGAUCAGAAAAGCAAAGAUUCCUCACUGAUGCUCCCGGAAAAUUCAUUUUUGUGGCUUGGAGCUUAUGGAAGGAAAGGAAUAAUAAACACUUUAGAUCAAUCGACCCCUCCUUCCAAUCUUGGCUUGAUAGAUUCAAGAGAGACUUUGAGCUCCUUCAACAGAGUUAAAGAGGCACAUAAGCCUCUUGUGUAUCUCCCUACACUAGUCUUACUCUUGUUCCAUUNNNNNNNNNNNNNNNNNNNNNNNNNNNNNNNNNNNNNNNNNNNNNNNNNNNNNNNNNNNNNNNNNNNNNNNNNNNNNNNNNNNNNNNNNNNNNNNNNNNNNNNNNNNNNNNNNNNNNNNNNNNNNNNNNNNNNNNNNNNNNNNNNNNNNNNNNNNNNNNNNNNNNNNNNNNNNNNNNNNNNNNNNNNNNNNNNNNNNNNNNNNNNNNNNNNNNNNNNNNNNNNNNNNNNNNNNNNNNNNNNNNNNNNNNNNNNNNNNNNNNNNNNNNNNNNNNNNNNNNNNNNNNNNNNNNNNNNNNNNNNNNNNNNNNNNNNNNNNNNNNNNNNNNNNNNNNNNNNNNNNNNNNNNNNNNNNNNNNNAGGAGCUCUUGCUCUUUUUAUCUUCUCCAUGUAACUAUAAUUUGUACAGUGUACCAUUUUAUAUUAAUAUAUUUUUACAGUAGGAGCCUUUUCUACUGUCUGCGGUAAAAAAAAUAGUUGUAUCGGGCACGACAAAGCACGCCUUGCGAUCUAGUUUGAUACAUGUAUAUAUGCAUUGCCCACCCUCUGAUUAUUGGAAGAAUUCCUUUUUUAACACUAUCUUAAAUUUCGCUUCACUAUUUGACACUGAAAAACAUUUUCCGCUCUAUCUAACAUAGAGUCUAAAUUUUAUGCCUUUUAUGAUACUUCAUUAAUUUUGAGCCUUAACGGUGUUAAAUGAUACCUUUUUGCGAAAAGGGCCUCCGAUUUAUAUUGCAACCAAAAAGUGGUACAAAACACCCCAACAAGAUAAGAAAAUACAAACAGGUCCCCGGGGAACCAACCCACUCCUCCAACCACCGCGGGCUACCGGCGCGCCGCCGCCGCUCCAACACAGAGCCGUCAUGACCUUGUAAUCUGCAGAUGGAUUGAGCACGGACGGGAAGUCUUUAACCUCGGCCCUAAAGGACCAGAACUGCAGAAAGAGAAGAAGGACGGACAUCAGUACACCACACCGGCAGUGUUAAAUGAUAUAUGAAAAGGCUAUUUUACCGCACAAGAGACAAGAACCGCAAUAACAGUAAUCGGAACCGCACGACACGCUUCCGUAACACCCUCAAUACCUGUGAGCUGAAAGAAAUACACCUACAAAACACGAAAUUCACUUGGAGCAAUGAGCAAAGUGAUCCAACCUUAUGCAAACUUGAUCCAUGUUUCUGCAAUGAAGUUUGGGAGAUCAACUAUGGCAGUCAUCUACUUCAUGCCCUCUCUUCAUCCCUCUCUGACCAUUGCCCUCUCCUUCUCGCAAACGUCCAAGGUUCACCUAAGUCAAAGUGCUUCCGCUUUGAGAAUUUCUGGACUAAAAUGCCCACAUUCAAGGAGAUCGUUCAAGGCGCUUGGAACCAAAGGGUGAACCACUCUGACCCCUAUCAGAUCCUGUUUCACAAGCUCAAGAAAACCAGCCAAGCUCUAAGGAAAUGGAGCAAGACAAUUUUUGCACACUCAAAGGUGCAGCUGCACAUGGCUCUGGAGGUCAUCAUCCGCCUAGAUGUGGCACAAGAGCUCAGGCCUCUCAGUGUGGAGGAGCGUGAUAUUCGUAAGAGGCUCAAAAGAAAUAUUAUUGCCCUGGCUGUGAUGGAGCGUGCCCGAAAAAGAUAGAAUUCAAGAAUCACCAACCUCAAAGAGGGCGAUGCCAACACUCGUUGCUUUCACCUUCGGGUCAAUCACAGAAGAAGAAAGAACUUUAUUCACCAUUUGAAACACAACAACGGCUAGGUAGUUGAUCAUGAUCACAAAAAGUCCGUCAUCCAAAACCAUUUUGCCGAGGUCUCCAAGCGUGGACCGCCGCGCCACAAAGACAUCAACUGGGACAACAUUCCGGUGCCGGCAAGUGACCUUUCCGAUCUUGGGGCGGCUUUACUGAGGAGGAGGUUAGGAAGGCGGUUUUUGACCUCCCCCAUGACAAAGCGCCAGGACCUGAUGGCUUCUUUGGAGCUUUGUUCAAAGAGUGUUGGGAGAUCAUCAAGGUUGACAUUAUGAUUGCUGUGAACCACUUUUCAAGCUUGCACACAUCCAAUCUUCAUUGGAUCAACUCGGCCAACAUUGCUCUCAUACCAAAGAAAGACGGAGCGGAAUGCAUCUCGAACUUUCGCCCCAUUAGCCUCAUCCACGCCAUUGCGAAGAUCCUAGCAAAGGUGUUGGCAAUGCAACUAGCUCCCCAUAUGCAUAACCUUGUCUCCAACACUCAAAGCGCCUUCAUAAAGAAGAGAAGCAUUCAUGAUAAUUUUAUGUAUGUCAGAAACUUGGCCAGGAAACUUCACAGAAAUCAUACACCCACCCUACUAUUCAAGCUAGACAUCAAGAAGGCUUUCGACUCAGUUAGAUGGGAUUUCCUUAUGGACCUCUUGAGCACCUGGGGUUCCCGUCUAGAUUUCGUGAUUGGAUUUCGGCACCCCUCUCCACUGCCAUCUCGAGGGUCCUUAUCAAUGGGGUGUUGGGUGAUCCGAUGAAGCACGGUUGUGGCCUCCGGCAGGGAGAUUCACUAUCUCCACUGCUCUUUGUCCUGGCAAUUGACCCCCUGCACCACCUCCUCAACAAGACCACUGCACAAGGACAUCUUCAACCCAUUUGCAGAAGUGCACCGACCAUCAGGACGUCCUUGUACGCAGACGAUGCCGCCAUCUUUGUCAAACCCACCAGGGGUGACGUCCAAUUUCUUGCUUCCUCCUUGGCCGCUUUUGGAGAGGUGACCGGCCUGCAUACUAACUGUACCAAAAGUUUGGUGGCUCCUAUUCGCUGCGACAACAUAAAUUUGGAUGACAUUCUCGAGGCCUUCCCGGCGGUGUGCACGGCGUUCCCGAUGCAGUACCUUGGCCUUCCGCUAUCGGUCAAGCGCCUCAAGAGCAUUCAUUUUCAACACCUUGAGGACAAGGUCGCGGGCAAGCUCCCACCAUGGCAGGGAAGACACGUCGCCUCUGCUGGGCGUGUGGUGCUUGUAAAGGCGGUCCUCACGGCCAUUGCGAUUUAUCAUCUCACGCCUCUCGACAUCCCCGUGGAGAUCCUUAACGCAAUUGACCGACUUCGGCGUGCUUACCUUUGGGGGGUACUGACAAAGUCUCGGGAGGGUCAUGCAAGAUCAAUUGGGACCUCGUCUGCAAGCCUAAACAGUUCGGUGGCUUGGGUGUGCUUAAUUUGAACAAAUUCGCCAAGGCCCUCCGACUACGAUGGCUUUGGUUCAAGUGGGUGGACAAAAGCAAGCCUUGGGUUGGCAUGGGAUCUCCUUGCACCAGGACGACCACAAAUUUUUUUGCGGCUGCUACAAUGGUUACAGUGGGAAAUGGGCGCACGACCAGAUUCUGGCACUCCCCUUGGUUGAAUGGUCUCUGCCCUCGUGACUUAGCACCGAGCAUUUUUGCCAUCUCCCACAAGAAGAAUUCCUCCGUCCAACAAGCCCUCACCAACAAUAGCUGGAUCUCUCUCAUUGAUACCUCUAAUGGCCUAUCAUUUGCACACGUCCAGAAGUUUGUCGACCUCUGGGAGAAGAUAUCCAUGACCUCUCUGAAUGAUGACAUAGAAGAUUCCAUCACCUGGAAGUUCACCAAGGAUGGGGUGUACUCUGCUUCCUCUGCUUACAAGGCACAGUUUGAGGGACUCACAUCGUCCGAUCUUGUUCAGCUAGUCCUUCAAAACAGGAUUUGGACAUCAGAUCGUCUCAUACGUCGCGGCUGGCCAAACUGUGGCCUAUGCCCACUCUGUAAGCAAUUCCAGGAGUCGGCGGCCCAUCUCCUCUUUCAAUGCCGCUUCACCAUCCGCAUUUGGAACCAUAUUCUUGUGUGCCUUGGCAUGCAUCACAUUUCUACGGCGAUAUGGCAGACGAGGACUUCCGUGAAAGACUGGUGGAACGGCAACCUUCAGAUUCGCCUUGGCUCCCUAAGGGGCUAGCCUCCUUGAUGAUGCUUAUCUCAUGGGAGAUAUGGACAGAGCGUAACGCUAGGGUCUUUCGAAACACGGCCGUCCCUUCCAUGGUCCUAAUAUGUAAGAUCAAAGAGGAGAUGUUUCUUUGGGCAGUGGCGGGUGCGAAGCACAUGAGUGUUGUAAUACCGCGAGAGUAGACCUUUUAGUUUGCCGCCUUGCGGCCCUUGUUCGUUAACUCCUUCUUAAUCAAUGAAAUGGCAAAUAUUUUGCCUUGUUUCAAAAAAGAAAACGCUAUUUUACCACUUAUGUGGUAUGUAACCAAAGUUUGUGCGUGGAGGUCGUAUGGCGACGGCUCGCGCAUCCAGUGCAGCGGCAAGGCGCAUAUCUUGUGCAUAUUUCGCAAAAAAAAAAAGGCGCAUAUCUUGUGCGGCGUGGCGUGCAGAAGACGGCCAGCCAAGUGGAGCUGUGCAACAACGAGGCGCACGGGGCCAGAGAUGCGGCGGCACACAACGGCUGGGAGAAACACGUUGGCAGCCGGGACAGCGCAUGCUGGCCAGUAGAGUCACCGGCCUUGUGCCUAAAUUGUGUUCUGCGGUCAGAGAAACCGGCUCGUCCGGGCCAGCUACGACGGCUUGAUGCUCUACACAAGGGCCAACAAGGCCAUGGUACGGCAUAGUGGAAGGGCCUAGGUCGCACGUCUCGACCCAUAAUUGUUUUUCUAAUUCUGAUGAACAAAUUUUAAACAUGAAGAAACUUCAAAUCCUGAAUUUUUUUAUAAAAUUAUGAACAUUUUUUGAGUCUGCGAACAAAUUUUGAAAACUGUGAACAUUUUUGAAUUGUGAACAAAUUUUAGAACAUGAACAAAUUUCAAAUUCAUGAACAAAAUUACAAAAUUGUGAAUUUUUUUUCAUUAAAUUGCGAAUUUUUUUUAAUUGUGAAUUUUUUUGAAAUAUUAUCAAAAUUUGAAACCUUUUUUGAAGUUCCGAACAAAAUUUGGAAACCCGAACAUUUUUUGAAACUCCCGAACAAAAUUUCAAAACACGAACAAUUUUUAAAAAGUGAACAUUUUUUGAAUACGUGAAUUUUUAUUGAAAUCAGAAACAUUUUUUGAAACAACCAACCAAAAAUUGAAAACACAAACAAUUUUCUGAAACUCCAGAACAAAACUUGAAAACACGAACAAAGUUUUUAAAAUUGAAUAUUUUUUGAAAAUAUGAACAUUUAUUAAAAGGAGAACAUUUUUAAAAAAGGAAAACAAAAAAGCUAAAAAAGAAAAGAAAAACGAUACAGAAAGGGAAAAAAGAAAUAGAAACGAAAGUAUGUUUUCUCUACGUGAUCUCUAAUUCGGGUAAAACCAAACCGAAACAAUCGGUUAACCGAACUUUCAGUUAGUUGAAAUUUUGUGUCUAUUUCGGCUUUCACUCGGGCUAACUGAAUUAAUAAAAAACGAAUAGUAGAGACGCGCCAGCUUACCGAUCCCGGUUUUGGGAACCUACUGGAAGGUUCCAGCCAUUUUUUCCCGGUUUUGGGAACCUUCUAGUAGGUUCCUGAACCGGUCUUUCUUUAAAAAUCAUUUUAUAUCUUUAUUUUUUUCCUUUUUGUUUACUCUUUUCUCUCUUUUUUGUGUAUUUUUUUCUUUCAAAAUGUUUGAUAUAUCAUAAAUUAUUCAACAUUUCGAAAAAAAUGCAUUUUCAAAUUGUAUUCAGAAAUUCAAAAAAUGUUCGUGCUUUUCAAACAUUGUUCAGAAAUUCAAAUUUUGUUCCGAAUUUGACAACUUCUCAAAUUUUUUUCUACGAAAAUUGUCUCAAAUUUAUAAUAAUAUUUGGGUUUUCAGAAAAAAAUGGGAGUUUAAAAAAUGUCCGCGAUUGUUUUAAAUAAUGUUCAUAUUUCCAAAUUUUGUUCUGGGAUUUCAAAAAUUGUUCGCCAUUUCAAAAAUUUGUUUGUGCUUCGACUUUUGUUCUGGAGUUUCAAACAAUGUUGGUGUUUUCAAAUUUUGUUUGGGAGAUUCAAAAAAGGUCCCCAUUUUUCAAAAAUGUUUGCGUAUCCAAAAACUGUUUUGUCAUUCAAGAAAUGUUCUAGUUUUCUAAAAAAUGNNNNNNNNNNNNNNNNNNNNNNNNNNNNNNNNNNNNNNNNNNNNNNNNNNNNNNNNNNNNNNNNNNNNNNNNNNNNNNNNNNNNNNNNNNNNNNNNNNNNNNNNNNNNNNNNNNNNNNNNNNNNNNNNNNNNNNNNNNNNNNNNNNNNNNNNNNNNNNNNNNNNNNNNNNNNNNNNNNNNNNNNNNNNNNNNNNNNNNNNNNNNNNNNNNNNNNNNNNNNNNNNNNNNNNNNNNNNNNNNNNNNNNNNNNNNNNNNNNNNNNNNNNNNNNNNNNNNNNNNNNNNNNNNNNNNNNNNNNNNNNNNNNNNNNNNNNNNNNNNNNNNNNNNNNNNNNNNNNNNNNNNNNNNNNNNNNNNNNNNNNNNNNNNNNNNNNNNNNNNNNNNNUUCCCUUUUUUCAAAAUUGUUCGCGUAUCUAUAAACUGUUUUGCCAUUCAAAAAAUGUUCUAGUUUUCUUUAAAAUGUUCAUAUUUUCAGUUUUUUGGGGGGAGUUCAAAAAUUGUUUCCGUUUCCAUCACCAGAAAUUUUUCACAAUUUUCAAAAUUUGUUCGUGCUUCAAUUUUUGUUCUGGAGUUUCAAAAAAUGUUGGUGUUUUCAAAUUUUGUUCGGGAGAUUCAAAAAAUUCAACUUUUUGGGAGUAGGUUAAAAAUUGUUUCCAUUUCCAAAAAAUGUUUGAGUUUUUUUUUUAAUACACAAUUUCAAAAAGUGUUUGUGAUUUCAUACAUCACUUUUUCAUGGCGGUGCCCGGAGGGCCAUGCUACCUUCCAAACGCGUUGAUGUCUGAUGGCGCACUCCUCCUUCGCCUUCAACAGCUAAUGGCCGCGGCAUCAAGGCCGGCGGCGGCACUAACGACUUCUCCGGCUCCGCCAUGCUCGUCACCGAAGAAAGAUCCCUAUAAGCCAGGUUGUUGGGCUAAGGCCUGCGAGUUAUAUCGACCUAAUAACUGCCGCAUGCUUUGACAAAUGGCCCAUGAAUACUUAUAUCAAACUAAAUGGCCCAAUGCUCACUCUGGCCCAUUCAAAUAGCAGGCGGGGAUUAUGAAUUAUAUGUCUUGCCUUCGAACGAAUUUGGGUUGUGUUUUUGCAAAUUCAACAUGACCAUUAUAACUUUUUUGUUUCAUGUCUUUUUUUAAUCCGCAGGUUACAAUGAUUGGCGGUAUGUAUGCAGUGAUCCGUAGAGAAACUGAAAGGAUCUCCAAGACCAUCGUGCAAUGGAAUGAGCCCCACACGCACUGUCGGAGCUACAGCCAAGCAAAACUGUGCUAUGGCCCGCCCAGAUGUAGUGAAAAUACACUAGCAUAAGAGAGAAAAUGGGGCAUCAGAGUAAAAUAUUUGGACUUUCCUUCAAUUCGGCCCGCCCAACUUCUUGUGUGUAGCUCCGCCACUGCCCACACGUCUUCUGCAUGAUGUAAAUGAAUCAUUUUCCGGUUGUUUGGACGCCCUAAAAUGUUGUGUGCACAUGGACAUUUGGGCAGGAUUACUCUGCUAUGACCCAGAAAAAACAAAGUAUCGUAUUUUGUCAAGAAGGCACACAAAUUUAUAAUAUUUAACCAUAUGUUUAUUGUUAGAUCUAUCGAGCAACACCAAUUUAGUACUUCCUUCAUGUUUGAAAAGAAGUUUUGUAGGAGUUAUUGUUUUCAGAAGUCAAACGGUGCAAAGUUUAACCAUGUUUGUAAAAAAUCUUUGAAAAUGACAUCUUUCUGGUCUCUUUUAGACUGGCUGAGAUCUUUGUAACUGUUUCUAUUUUUGGUGGUGCUGUCCUUCUUUGUAUACUUCAUGAAAGUUCUUUUUCCCCUGUCCUUGUAAAUAUUAUCCUAUUUUUAAAUAAAAGGAAAUUACAGUAGGGGCUUCCCCUGCGGUUUCACAGCUAAAACUGUUUAUAGAAAAUAAACAAUCAUUAAAUACACAAUAAAACAUAUUCUUGUAUUGUAUCUAUCUACUAUUAUGGUUAUUGACAGUUUUUUUUACUUAAGACAAGAUUUGUUGGCCUUCUUUCCAAGCAUGGGGAGUAGUGAAUUUUUCAAACAAUAUCAUGUUUUUAUUUUUAUUUAGAAAAAUGAAGCUCCAAUGGAUCAAGUUCACUAGCUUUGUCUUAGAAACAUGAUAACGGUACAAUGAAAUUCUACAAACUUAUCACAACCGGAAGAGAGCGUUGGCACAUCAAUUCAUUUGAACCGAUUCUGCACAAUUUAUCGCAAUCAAAGGAUAAUCUCGGCACACCAAUAUUAUUUAAACCGUGUCUCUGACAAACUCAAUCGUGUUUUCACAGGUAAAAUUGUUGCCAUGGUCGCAAAACUUCAUGGUCAUGGUGCUCUCAUUGUGAACCAAAGAAAGUUUUUUCUCUUUUUAGAGUGACUUUAUUUCAUUAGAGAAAAUAGUGAUAUGUUCAUGAGUUUUAAAAUAAGCUCACAAAUAUGAGUAUAAUUACAUUGUCAUAUUAGCAAAAGGUGUUGUGUAACGGCACAUUCAAAAAUGUGUUUAUUUUAUGACAUAUCAUCAAAAAUAUUGUUUGUCUAUAGUUAUUGUAUUUAAUUGUUCUUUCUUAGUAUUUUUUCUCCUUGAUUCUUUUUUUUUGAACAUCAGUACAGACACAAGUGCUCAUAUACACGCGCAUAUACUCACCCCUAUGAACGCACACAUGCACACCCUACCCUUAUGAGCACCUCCGAAAGACUGAGCUGACAUAUCAUCUUGAGAUUUACGAAGUCACCAUAGGCGCCUCAUCGUCGACGGGAACGUAUCCUCCCACUGAAUGCGCAUCGCGGGAAAUCCUGAAAUAAAUCCAGGAAUAAAUUCGAGCACCAGGAUUUGAACUCUGGUGGGCUGGGGAUACCAUAGUCCCUCUAACCAUCCAACCACAGGUUGGUUCGCAUUUUUUUUUCUUUGAUUCUAUGGUGAUUAUUUUAAUCUCUUCUAGAAUCAAACUAGGAUCGUAACAUCUCAAAUGGCUUACACUAAGGUCUUGCAUGAUCGUUUAUAUUGUUGUUAUAGAAACAAUUUUGGACUAGAGAGGUGCCUUCGGUAGUCUAAUCGAUAUGGAGAGUAUCGCAUAUGGCCUUAUAGUGAAGGUCUUCAUAUACGAUCAAAUUGAUACAACGACGUUCCUUGAAUAAGUUCAGUCUCGCUUCCAUGGAGCGCAACCUAAUCCUAUGCUAAGUGGACAUCAAGGGAAGGUAUGGUCACAUGGCUGAGCCAAAUGCGUCUCCUCGACACCCCCUCUCACAUUUUCUUCUUACAACAUUGGUCCGAGUCUAGCGUGUCUACUCGGACUCAACCCUAGAACUCUCUGAACUUCUCUCAAAGCUUAGUGGCCUGCCCUUGAGAUUUUUGGUGGGAGUGAAUGAGUUAAAUACUCGUGAGAGACUUAGGCGAGACAUCCUUGAUAAAUAAACAUGAGUGCCCUCAAUAUGGUAGGGGUGAAGGUUAGUAGAGGUAAUAUUUAGUCCAUUAGUUCAUGUUGGGCUAGGAGAGAAAUUAUGCCCAUAGGAAGGAAAUUCCAGUCACCACAUGGGGGCUUUAUUCAUGGGCGUAGUAUCCAUUGGUUGAGGAGACUCCUUUGAUGUGUUCUCUUUUUUUACUUCUCAAAGUGGUUUAAUCGAUAAGAUAGGUACAGAUAACCACAACACUUCAAAUUACAUCAGGCAGCCAAAUAAGAAAACAGUAAGAUAGAGACGCAAAAUAGGUUUUACUCAGGGAAGUUGAGCAAAAUAAAUCAAGGGCCAAAGUCACUCCACUUAGGCGGCUCUAGGAUCCCCACCUCAUGAGAUGUACGUGGAACAAGAACGAGAAAGUUAACGGUCGAAGCCAUGACUCCCUCAGGAGAGUACUGUGCGUCCUUUAGCGUAUCCCCCGUAGCCUCCGCCAUGUCCUCCGCAAUGCCUUCUUCGAUCCACACGAAGAGGAGCCCUGCUAAGGUAAGAGGAACCACAACCCUCCUGCCUUCCGGGAGCUCGACAUGACCGUUCCCCGCUCCCGCUCCCACCGUCGUCGACUCGGCCUUCUCCCACCGUCGUCGUUGUUUCCCGUUUCCUUGGUCUCCCUUGUCACUUUGGUGCUCUUCAUACGUAGAGCCUCACCGACGUCGCUCCCCAUGGCCCUAGUCAAUCUCCCCUGGUUAAUUGGUGCUCUCCCUGCGUGGAGCCCUCGACUGGAAUGCAUUGCGAACGUGCAUCUAGCUGCGGAUGGCGCAUCUUCUCUCCGAUGAGUUUUCAGUGAUGGAGGUGGUAGGGGACUGGAUUCGUUAUUUUUUACUCUUCAUUGAGUUGUUGACCGUGAUAUGAUUCUUGGACUUUUGUUGACCAUCUUGUGAACUCAUCUAACUUUCUUGGAUUUUCUUUUACAUGCCAUGUGGACCUUAGCAGGAACAACAGAUAUGAUUGUUUUAUGGGAUUGCCUAGAACUCAUCUAGCUGAGAUAUAAUUUGAUCUCAUUCAUCUUUUUUUUUCUAGAAUCAUUUGAUCUCAUUCAUCCUAUAUGGGUUGCUUGACUUCUUUUUUAUUGUUGUUGUCCCUUUUAUCAGCGGGCUUUCAUCAAAAAUUAUUUGGGCUUGUAUGGAAAGCGAACAAGAAAAUAAGAGAAAAGAUUUUGGACCCGAUCGUAUCUGCCACGCUGUUGUUGUUUGUUCCACGUAAGUCCGCCCCUCGGCUGCAUGUAUGGCUCGUACAUGUGAGCUGGGUGUGACGUGCCGUUGAGUGGAGUGAGUUUUGUUGCGUGAGUGUGUCUUCAUUCGUCUUCUCCGCAUUUGUAUUUUUUUCUCUUCUCGUGUCCCGGCCGGCUGCAUGUACAUGCCUUCAAACGGGCACACAUGUACAUACAAACAACACGCCAUGUAUAUAUGUAUACUGCACCUUUUUUAGUAGUAAAAAUAUUUAAGAACAGGCAAAUGCUUGCAAAUUGCAUGUUUAGUGGUGCACAUGCAAUUGAUCCCGAUAACUCCCGCUUGAUGCAGUUGCAGUCACUUUGUGCUCGUGCAAUUGCAGACGGGUUACAACACUUGUAAUUGCAUGUCUAGUGAUGUGCAUGCAACUGGCCUCGACAACACUUCUCCUAGCCCAAGUUGCAGUCGCUUUAUGCCCCGCGCAGUUGCAGUCGGGUUACAACACUUGCAGUUGCAUGUCUAGUGGUGGACAUGAAAACUGGCCUCGAUAACUUCUUUCCUGGCCCAGUUGCAGUGUUUUGUGCCCCCCUGCAGUUGCAGUCGGGUAACAAUGCUUGAAGCUGCAGUCGGGUUACAACACUUGCAGUUGCAUGUCUAGUGAUGGACAUGCAACUAUCCCGACAACUCCUCUCCGGACCUCAGUUGCAGUCGAUUUGUGCCACAUGCAGUUGCAGUCGGAUUACAACGCUUGCAGUUGCAUUUCCAAUACGAACAUGCAACUGGCCCCGACAACUUCCCCUCCCAACCCCAGUUGCAAUUGCUUUGUGCCGGUGCAAUUGCAAUCGGGUUACACCGCUUGUAGUUGCAUGUCUAGUGGUAGAUAUGUAAGUGGCCCAUGUCCCACUAACACCCUAUUUUUCAAUCUAAACUUCAUUAAUGUGUUGGCACGGUGAUUCUUUUAAAAUAAUAAUAAUAGUAAUAAUAAUAAUAAUAAUAAUAAUAAUAAUAAGAGGAAAAUAUUAUAAAAAUAUAACCUAAACAAUCAAUUUGCAAUCUUGGGUAACAAAUGAAUAUUAUACUUAAAAUAAAAUGAAUAUAAUAAAAAUAAGAAAAGAGUGAAACAAAAUUCUAUUAAUAUAGUGAAAUAAGAAAAAAAUAGAAAACAAAAAACUAAAACAACAAUUAAUCAUGAGAAAAAAAGUUAAAAACGCCCUUACAAAGAGCUUACCCCUGAAAGUAAACAAAUGACAAAACAUGCAAAAAGCUAUGCAGUGUUCACAUCCUUCGAUCCACAUAUUUCUUUUUUGGUCGGGGACAAAGGAAAAGAAAAAGCCCACAUAGCCCAGCUCGGGCAAAAUAAGCAAGCAAAAAGCCUGGGUAAAGCUCACGCACAUGAGCUGCUCCUCGUACGGGACGAGCAGGGCACGCUCGCGUCGCUUAGAAAAACAAAUCGCGGAGCGUUUUGAUCCGACGGCCACAAAAGUGAAUGAGACCAAAGAAAAAAGCAUUCGAAUGAGUUUUAGCAAACCCAUUGUUUUAUUACAAAUAACAAUUUGCAAAGGAACCUACAACAUUUAUAGUAACUAUUUUUUACUUCCUUCCAACUCAUUAUCAUUAAAUCUUUACUAAUCCCUCUGUUCCAUAUUAGUUGGCAGUGACAACUAAUAUGGAACGGGGGAGUAUAUUUUUAAAUUAAUAUAAUUAUACUAAACCUAGUCUUAUGAAAACAUAAAUCACACAAUUGUGUUGGCAAUAUUAAAACUUGAAGUUUUUUGUUCUACAACUCAAAUCUCUAUCAUUACGACUAUGAAAAUGCUAAUGCAAGACCAUAUUUUCACACGGAUGUUUUAUUAUAUUUGUUAAAUUCUUUUUGGAAGUUUUAGCAAACUGAAUUCUGUCUUAGUUAAGCAAAAAAAACAUUCUGUUCUCACUAUGUUUCUUUAGGACUAUUCUUGAUAAGUUUUGUCACUUGCAUAUUUAUACUUUUGUGGCUAUGUUAAUAUCUGUAAAAAUAUUGAUUGGCGGUUUUGCAAUGAAUAAAUUUCAGUACGAUGAAGGUUCUUAGAAUAUGAGUAUUUACCUAACUUUAACUAAUAGAAAUUUCUCGAAUGUAAGAGUUGUCACUUGUAGUUGUCCUCCAAUAGCCUCUCUCACCUUUACUAUUUAGUAUUGUUUGUCAAAUUUUAUAUUUCUUUAGCUAGUCCACUUUACAUACUAUCAACAUCUCAUGUCUUGUCUAUAAUAGGUGAUGAUGUGUUUAACAUUUAGCGUUGGAUCCAUCUCAAACAACACCAACUUGGACACAAAUUAUUUUUAAAAUGAUAAACAUGUUUUCAUUUAAUUUAAAUAUGGUGUGCCAGCCUACAAGUAAACCUACUUUAUUAUUCUUGGAACGGGUUUUGCAAUCAAGAAAGAAUGUAGGUACAUCAAUCUUAUUUGAAUAGUGUCUCUAUCAACUCAACCAAAAGUUUGCUAAAACAACACAUUAAAGAAGAUGUAGAACAAAGAAAUUCAUAGUAAUCAUGGAACAAAUGCCACAAUGGACUAAGGAAAACGGGAAACAUAGUGAGAGAGUAAACAUAGCAUCGCAUAAAAAAACUAGCAGACAAUGACCGUGUGCUGGCCAACCUCAACUGAUGCACAGUCCUUCUGUACUGCAGACUCUCUUCACCCCCCCCCCCCUCCAUGUCCUCUCUUUGGUAUGCCCCUUCACGAAUCUAGGUCUUUCCAUUACCCAAGUCCCACCUUCUGAUUAACGACCCAAAUUCACCCCUUCCUCCUCCAACAUCACGUAGACCACCGAAAAAUUUCUACACAAGUCAUUGAUUUGCCUUUACUAUCGUUCUAAAGGUCACUGAUCUACUCUUGGAUGGCGACAACCCUUCCUUGUGGCCUCUCUCUCUCUCAGAGGGAGUAACUGAAUAUACCGUUAGCCGGACCCUUAUAGGUUAUUGCCGUUGUCACUAGGGUCACUUCCCUCCUCCAACUUAACGAGAAUGGAGUAGAAGUAUCGAGAUUAUUUACUUUCCCUAUUGUUUAUCAUCAAUAUUAAAGAAUAAGAUGAUGGUGGAUGAAGAUGCCACUAUAGAUAAAGGAUUCGAACUGGAAAGAGAGCGAAAGAGUAAAUAUAUGGUAACAUAAAAAGCCUAGUAGAUAACAACCGUGGGAUAUCUAGCCUCAACUAAUGCUCACUCUUCUUCUACUGCAUGCCCUCCUCCCCGGCCAACUCUUUCCCUGGUAUUCUCCUUCACGAAUAAGGUUCAUUCUCCUAACUCGGGUCCCACCUCCCACUUUCCUACCACAACCCUGCAACUUCCCCUCUCGCCUUUGUCGACCACUGACAAUCAUUGACUUCUUGCAUGACCACUCUGAUACCGGGUCGCCGGUGUCCCUACCUCAUGGCCUCGUCUCCAAAAGAAAUAACCGAAGGCGCCGCUAAACCCCUUAGAGGUGAUCGUCCUAUCGAUGUUGCUAGCUAGCCACUGAUGUCACCCGGGUGGCCGGAUCAUCGCCCUUGCUCCCCGCUCCAACAACAUUUAUAUUUCCCUGUUAUAGAUUUUAGAUUGUUCAUGUUUCGUUUACGCAGGUAUUACAAACUUUACCACAAAACACUAUCCUUUUCUAUGACAGUAUUAAUUACUACUCUUACUAGCUUUUUUUACAGCGUUUUAAUAAUACUAUAUAUUCCUCUAAAGAGUGCAGCUGGUCCACUGCUGACAUGGCACACCCAUCUCUUCCAAAACACCCUAUCGCCCCCCUGCCUUGAGCUGCAAUCCGAUGAACCAGCAAAACCGUGGACGAGCACCGCCGGUAUUCCGCUCCCGAAUUCCACAGAUUUCCACUCCCCGCUCCCAAAGCCCCGAGACUUUAUAGCCGGCGAGAACAAACCCAGCAAAAUCCCAUCUCCCAACCCAGAAAUCCUCCCACACCCAGAAAUGAAUCAGCCUCUCCUUCCCCUUCUCUGAGAUCUCAGCCUGAGCCUGCGCGCCGCGACUUCCACCGGAAUCCUCCUCUCCCAGCCGCAGCGUCGCCGGAUUGAUUCAGGAGGUGGUAUAUCCGGAUUGGAUUAUUUCAUUUAUUUCUUGGUUCCUGUCGUGUUCUUGCGCGGAAAGCUAGGAUCUUGCCGCCGUUGGGCCGUCCCUGAUUCCUCGGUGGUUCGUGUUUCUGCAGGCAUUCUUGCCGGCCGGAGAAGCAGUCUUUGGUCAUCUGCUCGAGGUAAUGGCAACGGAUAAGAUUUGAUUUGGAUGCGGGGGGUGUUAGACUGUAAAGGCAGUAUAAAGGCACGGCGCUCUGGCUUUGUGUUAUCUGCUUUGAGCCGACCUCACUUGCUUAUUUUAACUGAGAAAUAAGGGGAUCCAGAUCAAUGUUAUCAUGCUCUGCAUUAACUACUAGUAGCAUAUUUUGUUUCAGUACAACAAAUUUUAAUGGAGUGCGAACUGCUAAGUGGUCUAUUUAGGUUGAAACUCUUUGUUUUGUGGGCUGUUGUCCCCAUUACUGUAUCCAGUGAUAAUGUGAUUGUUUAGCAGUUCAUGGCCUCCUUUUUACUUUGUUUCCCUGUUACAAUGUGAUUUGAUUUCUCACCAUUUCGACUGAUUGAUUCCAUGCGAGUCAUUUAGCUUAGCACUGUGAAUCUGUAUGCUUGCUUCUUCCUUUAAAAUUUGUCAUGUUACAUCCAUUGGCCGUUGCAAUGAGGAAAAACAUAUUUGAUAUCUGUUGGGAAGGAGGGGUUGUUGCUUGUUAGUGCAAGUUUGAUUUCUGCUGUAAAAUGCUUAGUUUGAACUGUUAUUUCCUUUCAUGCAUGUUAUCUGGAGUACAAAAAAAUCUCAGUUAUUAUUCAGGAGUAGUUAAUUAUACUCAAGUGUAUGCCAUAUGUGUGAAUCGUCGGUUAUGCAUGUUGCCCUGAUUCUCCUUAUUUGGCUUUGCAAACAGAAGAAUAUAACAGAGGCUCUAGUUCAGAUCAUCAUCAGACAUGUCGCUGCUAUCGAAGUUACGGUUGGUCACUGUGGAUGUGACUGGUACUCUGCUUGCUUACAAAGGACGGCUUGGUGAUUACUACUGCAUGGCUGCUAAGUCUGCCGGAAAGCCAUGCCCUGACUAUGAUCGAAUGCACGAAGGCUUCAAGCUUGCAUACACUGAGAUGGCGAGGAAAUACCCAUGCUUUGGAUUUGCGGCAAAGAUGCCAACGAUUGAAUGGUGGAGGAUUUGUGUCAAGGAUUCAUUUGUUAAGGUAAAACCAUUUUGCAGAUUUUUUUUUCAGGAAUUAGCGUUGACCUUUUCAUUUUCCUAGUGAUCUGAUUGUUCAACUUAUACUGCAGGCUGGCUAUGAUUACGAUGAUGAGACAUUUGACAAAGUGUUCAAGCGUAUUUAUUCCGCCUUCGGCUCCUCCGCACCAUACUCGGUGUUUCCUGAUGCACAGCCCUUCAUGAGAGGGCUGAGGGAGAAGGGUAUCACAGUUGGCAUCGUCAGCAAUGCAGAGUACCGUUACAAAGAGGUCAUCUUGCCUGCGUUAGGGCUGAAUCAGGUUUGAUAACAUCACACACGACAGUCACUGCCUUUCCAACCGUUUGUCGUCUUAUAAAAGCAGUCACCUGAUGCAUGUCUUAGUUGUGCAUCUAGGGCUCGGAGUGGGACUUCGGGGUGUUCUCAGGCAUCGUCGGCGUUGAGAAACCUGACCCAAAAAUCUACAAGAUCGCGCUGGAGAUGGCGGGGAACGUCGCACCGGAAGAGGCGCUCCACAUCGGCGACAGCUACCGCAAGGACUACGUCCCCGCACGGAGCAUCGGGAUGCACGCGCUGCUCCUGGACCGGUUCAAGACCGCCGACGCCGAGAGCUGGAGGAAGUCCGGCGCGCCGGUGCUCCCUGACCUCGAGGCCGCGCAGGCAUGGCUCACCAAGAACCCGACCGAGGAGCCACUAGGGGCCGCGCUGCUGCGCAGGAUGGCCGAGAAGCUCUGAAUCUCGCCCCCUGGGAUAGUUCCUGUUGUGCUCUUGCUGGGGAGUGAGGGAGCCAAGGAGAAGGGAUGUGUUGUAGUGAUGGUUCACUGGCCAGUUUAGCUAGCUGGAGCUACUUGAACUCUGGUAGUAGGCUUCCGGUGCUGUGGUGACUGCUGAAUGUGGCAAGUGAUUCAGCCGUGCGACGAACAUCUUGCAAUGACGAAUAAUUCUAAUCAUGUUUCGCAUAAUGGAGAAAUUUUACAUGAUUCUGCA
rnacentral:lncRNA from 1 species